UAACCUCAUUAAUUUUCCAAUCGAAAUAAAUAUCACAUAAUACAAUUGAGGCACAUCAAGCUCGGCACAAAGGAAUAGACCAAAAGAACCACUUAAUAGAUCAGGAUUAGAGCAAGUCAUGUACAUAGAAAGUGAUGCAUUCCGCAGAUUGAAAGCCAUUCAACCCAAAAUGUGGUAGCAUUUGAAAACACAAACUUUUGGAAGCAGAUGAUGAUGCUAAGCCCCAUACCAUGAUAGGGAACGUGGUUCUGAUGCUGAUGCACAUUAUAGCAAAAGUAGCCACUGCAGAGGUAGUAGACAAAAAAUAGCUAUUGCUUGGCCAGUCGAAAACGUAACCAGCCAACCAGGCUGCUCCUGAAGAAAAACACCUAAACCAUAUGAUACGUCAGUCGAUAUCACACAUUGAGAUAAUUUUAAAAGUACUCUAAUUUUAAUAGAAAGUAUAGUUCAGCAACUCAAUACACAUAUCUAAGUUCGGAUUGUUCAAUGGACACUCAUAUUGUACUUUUUAUAUCGGUCCAAAUGAAACAUCUGUACAUAAUUGCAAUUACAUUAUAUCAACCUAAGACAAGAAUUCAAACGGCAUUGCAGAGAUCCCUAUUCCUCGAGAGUGCAUCGAUAUAAACCAUAUAACCAAGACCAUUUUGUUUUCGAAGAGUUAUAUAGAGAAGAAAAUGGUUACCCUGUUACAAUCCAUCAUCUCAUCAUGGAACAAAAAAUAAAACGAAUUAAAUGCCUACACUGGAUAGUAUGCACAUUGGCUAUACCAAAUCAUUAAAGACUAAUUUUUCUGCAACGAUGAAUAAGAAAAACAGUACACCGGUGUUAGAAAACAGAACAGAGUCGUUGACGGAGAAAAUCAAGUGUUACAUAAUAAUUGAGUACUCCCUUUGUAAGCUAAUAUAAAGUCUUUUAGAUCACUAAGGUAAUGAUUUAAAUGAUCUUAUAUUAGUUUAGAGAGGGAGUAAUUGUUAAGAAGUUUCGGGUUUUUUAAUCACACAAAUACCUUCAUAAAUUGUGCUCCACCAAAAUACUCUUCUUGCUUCAGGAGAUUAAAAAUAGGAUUAAUAUUACACUAAACAACACAUGUGACAAUAAGGGCCUGUGUUAACGAACGAACACUGAUGCUAUAAAGAUGUGACAGUGAAUAUGUGUUUUAGCAACAAAAAAGGUGACAUUAUUUAUGGAAACAGUUAUCUGCAUACCAUUCCCUAUUUUUAGACAGAGCACCUUUCUAAAUGCACCCAGAAGACUACCUAGACCAAACUCUAUGAACAACCUAGACACAUGACUAUCGGAUAUGUUGCCAAAUGCAAAACAAAUAAUUCCACUAUCGGCAACAUUUAUUUUUCACCUAAUUCAGCAGAGCGCAACACGUAUAUUGCUCAACCAUCUAUGUCACUGCAUCUGACCUCCACUUGAAUAAUUACUACUGGAAACAAAAAUACACAAAAUAGGCACAUAAAUCGUAACCACCGGAAGUAGGCACAGAGGUUGUGCAUGAACAAAAAGACAAUCUACCUAUCAACGCGUAACCACCAGUAGCUACUCACAUGAAAACCAGCACCUGCAAAACAAUAAGCAGAUAAACAACACAUUAUCAAUCAGGUGAAGGCGGAGCAAAGAAAAACAAAAGAAAGAAGAGUAAGAAAAAUAACUUGGGGAAACAAAAUCCAGAAAAUGAACAAAACUCCACUUUGUCAUGUGAGUUGUAGAAAAAAACAGAAUAUAACUCCACUUUGUUGUAGGUCCACAACCCAAAACAAUCGGGUAACCACAAUAGGAUCAACUAAGCAUGCCAACCACUAUAUUUACAUAAUAAGAUGAACUCGACGUGGCACCAGGCGCUCCAACUGCGUCAACAACUAUAAUUUCCUAAUGGCAUGCAUAUAUGUAUUGUAGUUAGUUGCACCCGGAAGCCUGUGAGUUUACACAGCAACAACUCGUAGGGAAUAGCAAGUAUAGCCUCAUGUGCCGCUAAAAUAAUCAGGGCCACCACUACUUUAACAAUAAAAUCUUCUAGUGGUGGAACCGGAAUUUCACCCAAAGCCUCACACUUUUAACAAAAAUUAAACCAACCAUGUGUAUGUAACCAUAUGGUAUAUUCUACAGCCGAAACAAAACAAAAUAGUCUAAGCAUCAAGUUAUAUCAUGACGAAAUCAGUAUGUAAAUUAGCACGACGAAACCAGUAUGUAAAUUAGCACUAUAGCUGAUGAGACAAACAACAAAUUAUGCAUCCCAUUGAGCAAUACUAUGCAUAAUUCAUUUUAAAAGACUAUCAGUUCUAAUUUCUAUAAGAUCUCAAAUCUUUGGAGGUAAGUCUCUUCAAAUCCGAGCACAACAUCUUACCAUCCAAGAAAACUGAAACAGGAAUGGAAGACUCUAGAUCUGAUACUCCAAAAGUGGAAGAAAACCUCGAUCAAUCUUCUCACCUCAGCUUAGCCGGAGCCACCUGGUAAGUGGCCAAAACCCGGCAAGCGAACAAUUCCCGACGGCUCCCACGGCGGAAGAGCUCGCCUUCCUUCCACAAAGCGUCUACCUCACGGACGGGGCAGGGGCGAGGUGAUGCUCACGAACGAGGCAGUGGCGCGGGCAGCGCCGUCGUGGCUCACAUAGGCAGAACCCCCGUGCUACCUAGAGGAGAAGUGGCAGAUGUGACGCGCUAGCUUGACGGACGCGGCGGCAGUGGGCAACAAUUGUAGUACAAAAAAAGUCAGCUUUGUUUAAGGUAGUAACUGCCACGGUCGAAAAUAUGAGGAUUUGGUUCUCAUAACCCGACCAUUUAUACACAAUCAAACAAAAUCUAGAAGGACCAUCUAGCCAAACCAUAAAAAGUAUAUAAUCGCCUGAAAUCAAAUUUCCAUUGAAGCAUUCAGUUCAAUGAUAAACCAUGUCAUAUUGAUUCAGGCCUUGUAGGCAUAUGGAAGGACCAAACAAGGAUAUCUCACAAUUUAGCCCUCCCUCAGUGUGAGCCUCUCGUGCAUAUGCAGUUUUGGAAUAAAGAAACUUAGACAAAUGUCAGCAUGAGCUGACAGGACGGUAAAUACGUAGCGAACUGUCGGCAUGAGCUGACAGGAACAUAAAUAUGUCUACAGAGACAUAAAAUCAAAUGGAUUCAAGAAUAUAAGCACAUCUAUAGAUACACAAAAUCAAAUGAACUUCAAUAGCUUAAAUGAAUCACAGCUAUUAAUUUUGCUGAUCGUAAAUGUAAAAUAUAAGAACUGUACAUGUAUUUUAGUAAGCAGAGGGGAAGCAACCAAGGGCAGGAGGCCAUCUACCCCUAUCUGAUUGUGCAAAUAUAAUUAACACUGACAUGCACCGCGGACAUGUGAUGGCGAGCAAAUAUAGGCACAGCAGGCAAUCAUAAGCAUAACUAAACCCAGAGAAAAAUGAACUGGAUCUGGAAGAGAGAAAGAUACCUCUGGGAGCGGUGCAGUACGUGCAGGAUGUCAUGGUCAGCUUCAUUGAAGAAGAAAACAGAUUGAAGACCUAGGAAAGGAUAGAAUAGUCAGGCAAAAGAGAAAGGGUCUAAGGAGAGAUCAACCGCGAUCGAAUAAGCGGCGCAGGGAGAAAGGCAAGAGAAGAAGAGCUCACCGAAGAAGGUAUAGUGUUUGGUUCCUGCAGCAGGAUAGAAGAAAAGGACCGGGUAGAAAUGCCUUCAUUGGCGAGAAGGCUGCUGGCCCAAAGAAGAAUGGGCCUCCACGUGUUAUCUUGAUUAUUUAAUGAACCGCACAAAUUGAUAAUUGACUGUAAAUUGAUCAUCGCCAAUUCCUAAAAAUAUCAGGAAAUGCACAAAAAUCAAAAUACUCAUAUAGCGCUUAGCGAGAGUAUUUCCGGCCGCAAACGAAAGCCUUGCAAAUCCUUAAUUCUAUAAUUUCAUUUUGCCAGUAACAAUAGUUUCCUAAAUUGAUUUGUAGGGUUUAUUUAAUUUCCAUAAUAUAUAUUAUUUUAUUUGAUAUCGUUUAAACCAAACUAUAUAAAGUUCAUACAUUAGCGUCACAUGAUAUGGACAUAAAUGAUUAAAAAUAUGAACUAUACUUUGUUUUCUUUUGAAGCUCUAUAUUUGUUCAUACAUCAGCAUUAGUGCUAGCAAAUAGCAAGUAAACAAAGAACGACCUUAAAUUUAUUAAAACAUUUUACUCAUCAACCAGACUAAAUGGUACGGCAUAUGAUAUAUAGCUCCAAUGAGGGGAUUUAUAGUAUGAAGGUAAAACUUUAUUAUAAUACUCACGGACGGUAUAGCAGAAAAGUCAACCAAUACAUUACGUCCUCUACUGCAUCAAUGAACAAAUUAUACCUCCUAUUUUCGAACGAACUAUUUUCACAGACCACUAAACUAAAGAGGGGUAUGUGUUCCAUAGAAGUCAAACCUUUCUGGUCAAAACAAGCCAAAGGAGACCCUCAGGUAAAGGUUCUCCAUCUUUAACUGCAGCCGGCAGUACUUUCUGGCACUCUGAAAUAGAGAGACCUCUAAAUCGAAUACCCUGAAUAGAAAGCACACAAAUUACAGGCAUCAACAGAGAUAUACCAAUGAUGCAUAAAUUUAAAUAUCUCAAGCCAAACUAAGUACCAAUUCAAUCAAAACUCUACAAUGAGGCAGGCAUGCUAAAAUAUAAACCAUAAAGGAUUAUGCUCUUGUAGUCAAGCAAGUUGAUGUAUAAUGAAUUAAUCCAAUUUGAACGUGAACAUAUCUUUUAAAUCACUGUGCUAUAGUCAAUUCUGGAAAGUGAAUCAUAUUUCGACAUAAAGUAUACAAUUAACACACUAAUUACUACUGUACAGGGACAAAUUAAGCUCAACUUCAGGACAGAAACUUGACUGGAGAUCUCAAGAUAAUAUAAUAAUCAAUUUUCUAACCCAAGGAACAUUCGUAGACAUACAAGCUAAUAUGUAAUUUGCUCUCAUUACAGCACCCAUAGCACUACAAAGGAGAACAAUAAAAGGAUACCUCCUCUGGGUCAAGUAAAGAUGUUUCCCAGAGCAUUCCAGUAAUCCCUCUCAUCCCACCAAGGACCUGGAGAAAGUAGAAACAUUGUUCAGAAUUUGGUCGGCACAGAAACAGAGUUUUUAAAGACAAAUGUUAUUAAAUAAAUACCAUGUCCACAGUUAUGUUACCAAGCUGGACGUUUUCAUGCUCUGACAAGUUUUUUCAAGCGGUCUUGUAAAAAAAUGCAAUCGACAUGAAAUAACUUUGAACCGGCAGAAUUAUUCUUUCAUAGAAACAAGUGGUUAGAGCGGUGAAGACGAAUCCAAGUAGCACCUCUCCAAUAUUAAGAGCGUAAUUGACUAAUCUACUAAUUUAUUUUCAUACCAGGCACGUAACAGAAUCUAGUGCAACGCAGGAAUAAUAUAUUUGAAAUAAGGUAAAUUUGUUCCUUAAAGGUGUUGAGUAUUAAAUGCUAGUUUGCAACAAUUAUCAUUUGCUAGCAUGUUACACCAUGGCAUUUGUGAAUAAAAGGUGUUCUACACUAUUUGGAAGCAGAAACUAAGCAUCACACAGAAUCACAUGAACUGACAGGGUUAACACUGGUUGAGUAAAUAACAGGGGUUGAUAAAAAGAGAGGAUAAGGAAUCAGAUGACACGAAUACUUUCCAACUUAACUUCACGAUAGGAUGCACGAGUGAGCCACAAACCUGUUGCUCCGGAAUCAUUUCCUGCAGCUGGGACCUAAGAUCUUGCAUUUUCAGAAACAAAGUCAGCGUCAUGUUUAGAACAAAUAAAAGUCCCCCUCUCAAAAAAUCCAGCUAUCAAACAACGACCAACAGUUUCCAAUCACAGUAUCCUAUGGAAACUCAAGCGCAUAACAGAACAUGAAGAUUGUUGUCUUACGAGAUCAGAAGCGCUCUGCAUCUGUAGCCAUCCCACACCACCAAGCGUGGUGUCAUCCUGCCCUGGCAACACGAGUGACAAACAAUCUCAGCAUUAGCAAACUUUUAGAAGGUGCAUCCCCACCCAAUGCAACCCGGGGGUUCUGACAAAUUCACUCACCUUUCAGGAUCACAGCCUCGAGACCGCGGCGAGGCCCCGGUGAUGGCCACGCGAUGGAGUAGGAGUGACGAGGGCCUCCUGCCGGUGGGUGGAGGUGGAGGCGGCCAGAGUUCCCGCUACGGUUGCUAAUAAUAAGUACAGCAAAGCACAUGUUUAAAGGAUGUAUCUUAAUAAAAGCUACAAAAUCACAUACCAAACCCUACUUGCUUUCGCUACAUGUAUCUACAAGUCUACAGCAAACUAAAGAACGGCACAAAAUCACCCAAUUCUCACCAGAUAGAUCAUCAGGGUCCCCAGUCUACCUUUGCCUAGAUACUACAUUGCAUAACCAAGGUCGCAGCUUUAACAGACACCAGAAGACAUAUACAGGUCCCCCAUAUGUGGGCAAUAAGUCAAAUUGUCUGUUCUAUUUGUGUGAUGGAGAAUUUUAGAGGUGCAGAAUGAAACCCACAUCUCAUGAGUAAUGUGCUUGCUGCUAAUACACCAUGGCUUACAAAACUAAUGCACGAGAUUAGUAUUUCAUAUAUAAGGUUCUAUGUCAGAUAUAUAUAUAUAUAUAUCUCCAGUUACAGCAAUGAAGUAGAUCAAGCAGUGGAGGCACCUCCAAGCUACUACAAAGACAUCGUCCUGCCCCGUGAUAGUGGUGACCUGCAAUCCAAGAAAAUGAGGAGCAGUCGUCAGAUAGAGAGAGAGGUGCACCUGCAGCAGCGGCUUGGGUGGUGUUGAGGAUAUAACCCUUAGAGUCACCCGCCAGGAGGGGCCGGGUUACUCAUAAUGGUCAUCACGCGAAGCCCAGUACCGAGCUUGAAGACGGCGGGUCAAUGAUGGGCCUAAGACCCGGAGAUAUCUUAAGGCCCGUAGUGAUAACCGCCAUUAUGGUAGAACUUGUAGUGUAAAGCAAGAAUAGUUGAGAGUCCGAGCCGGACACUCUUAUGAGCCGGCCGGGACUCUGAGAGCCGUUGGGCGUCAACCUUCUCUAUAUAAAGGGACGACCCGGCGGCGGUUUAGAAAAAGGUAAGAUCUCGUCGAGAGCCAGGCAUAGCAAUCAAGCUCCCUGGUCAUCAAAACCAUAAGCAAUACCACCUCAACUGGAUGUAGGCUUUUACCUUCACCGUAAGGGGCCGAACCAGUAUAACCCUCAUGUUCCUUGUCCCGUUUAACCCCUUCAAGCUUCCUAGCUGCGAUGGCUCCACGACUAAGUCCUAGCUCGAGGACAUCUGCCGUGACAAUUCCACGACAAUUGGCGCCCACCGUGGGGCCAGCGCACGGUGGAUUUGAGUUCUUGAAGGGCAGCUUCGAAGCGCUCAAGGGAUACGCUGUGGGCCGGAUGACCAAGAGUCGUCGCGGAAAGCUCUACAUCGACGAUGCAACUUGGGGCCCCGACGCCGGCUCAAUUGAGUACGGGUACCGGGUCCCCUUCGGCGGAAUUCAUGUCUUCAUUGGCAAGAUUGGUGAGCCGGGCCCUGAGCCGGAUCUCUGCGCCGGUCUCAUCGAGACGGCUCAGCGUGCAUGACCCGCCCGGGCUCUACCUGCCUUGAAGCAUGCUUUUGUGGGAUGUGUUCAUGGAGGACUCUCUAUAGAGUCUGGAUCUGGUGAUGAGACGGCCGCCGGCUCUGACGGCGAGUCAUCCACAGAUGAGUCAAACUCGUUGUAUCAACUUCAAGAUGGCAGGCUCAGGGGUUGUUCCGAUGGUGACAGUAUUCCGGACCCUGUUGAGCCGCCGAGCCGGGUUGGAAUCUUCAUGGCCGGUGCACAGCCUGUUCAAAACCCAGCCGCUGGGUCAAGAAACCCGGUACCCUCGCCGGCUCAGGUGCUGAUGGAUCUCACGGACAAGAUGACGGGCCUGUUGACCGCCACGGUUGACCCGGCGGAUCAGGCUCAGCAUGACGCGGAGGUGGCGCAGUUAAAGUUAGAUCUAGUGAAAGCCAAGGAGGAUCUGGCGGCGGAAGGGAUCAGGAUGGCUGCGGAGAGGGCGGCUCUCGACGCCCAGACUCAGUUGAUUCAGGCGCAGUCCUUCCGGCUCACGAUGGAUCAGAACGCGUCCAAUGAGGUCAUGAGAAGGAGGCAUCAAAAGGCCCAAUCUCGACUCCCUCCGGUCUACGAUCCUCGAAACCUCUUCAACACGCCAGGUGCAUGGUCUAGUAACCCGCCGGAGAUCAUAGUACCCGGAGCUGGGACACCAAUUCAGCCCCAAGUAAUGGGACCUCCCCGGGUGAACCCUGCCCCGCCUCGGUACGUGCCAAUACCACCGGGUCAUUAUGCCAACCCGCUGGAAAACAUGGUCACCGCGGCGGCACGGCUGCCGGCUCUCCCAAUUGAUGGUGAUUCUCCAACGGCGGUUGAAACCCGCCGGGUCAGGGAGCUCCUUCAGACGGCUCUAGCGCAGCAAGAGGCGUACUCUUACAGCCGGGACAGGAUCCAUUCAACCCCUCGUCCAGGCCGGAGCCCGAGUUAUAGCAGACACAUGGUUUCAGCGACCGGCUCAAGUAAUGUCCGACGCCAUGACUUGCCACCUAGCCAUGGCCCGGCUCAUAAUGGAGCCUUUCACGCAACAGACCAAGACAGAGCACGGCAAGAGGCGGAGCAAGUGCCUCAGGUGACGGCUUACCAGACACCCCCGGCUUAUCCGACGACUUCCGUCGACGUGGGUAUCCCUAUGAGGACUGGAGGUGUCCCUUGUUUAGUGCCGGCUCUCCGCAAUGAACGUCUACCCAAGGACUUCAAAGGGCCUAGGAAGGUGCCUAACUACACUGCUGAUUUACAACCCGGAGCCUGGAUCGAGAGUUACGAGAUGGCCAUGGAAUUAGUGGAGGUCAGUGAAGCGGCGAUGGCCAAGUACUUCACCAUGAUGUUAGAUGGGACUGCCUGCACUUGGUUGAAAGGGCUGCCACCGAAUUCCAUCGGGUCUUGGGCUGAGCUGAAAGCCCGGUUCAUCCAAAACUUCAAAGAUACCUGUAGGCAGUCUAUGUCAAUUGUGGAUUUGACUAACUGUAAACAGCAGGAGGGUGAGUCUACGACACAUUGGGUUCGCCGGGUCAAAGAGAUAAUACAUUCAUCUGAUAACAUGGAUGCCGGCUCUGCAGUCUUAAUGUUGGAGCAGAAUUGUCGCUUCCUGCCCCUGAAGAUGAAACUCGGGCGGCUCAAACGCGACUGCAAUGAUAUGGGUACGCUGAUGGCGGCUCUUGUCAAAUACGCCGACUCUGAUAGUACCAAGGACCUCGCUUCAGAUGAUGAAAGGACAGGGAAGGGAAGGAAGAACGGCAAUGGCAAGGGUCCUCAGCAUAACCCGGCAAACCAAGGAGGUAACAAGCAUAAGGCUGAUGGCAGCAUGGAGUUUGUGGCCAAUACCAAUUCACAGGGUAACAACCAGCGACGUAAAGGGAGGCCACCUCCCCGGGCUGGCGGGUCAGGCCCGACGCUCGAGCAGUUGUUAAACGAGCCUUGUCCGAGGCAUGGCUCUAGGGAGAAGCCAGCUACUCAUCUAUGGAAGGAUUGCGCAAUCAUGAAAGCCUUUAAGAACUCCCAUGCCUUUAAUGGCAACAAUGGCCCGGGCGGCGGCUCAGGCGCUGGCGGUUUUCAUGGCCCGGGCAGCGGCUCAAAUCCUAAUACUCAGAACGGUCAAGGGGGCUUUAAUCAGCAGUCUGCCCAGGGUCAUCAACAGCAGCAGGGGGGUUAUCAGACCAAUCCAAAGCAGCUUAACGGUGGACAGUAUCACGUAUUUACCACCAGUCUGUGUAAGCGAGAUCAGAAACUUCAUAAGAGGGCUGUCAAUGCUGUUGAGCCGGCGGUUCCACGCUAUUUAAGAUGGUCUGAGCAGCCUAUUGUGUGAAGUAGGGAGGAUCACCCUCCCCGGGUGGAUAAUCCGGGUCACUUGGCCCUGGUGGUGGCUCCUCAGGUGGGAGGAUAUAAGUUCACUAAGGUGCUCAUGGAUGGAGGCAGCAGCAUCAACAUCCUCUAUUAUGAGACUUUCCGUCGUAUGGGGUUGAUUGAUAAGAACCUUAGCCAGUCCAAUACUGUUUUCCAUGGUGUGGUGCCUGGUAAGUCGGCUUAUCCAGUUGGUAAGAUCGAAUUGGAAGUGGCCUUUGGAGACGAGUACAACUACAGGGUGAAAAAAUUGACCUUUGAGGUGGUCAAGAUAAGAAGUCCGUAUCAUGCCAUAUUUGGGCGGCCGGCUUACGCCAAGUUCAUGGCACGGCCGUGUUACGUAUAUUUGCAGCUCAAGAUGCCGGGUCACAAUGGGACCAUUACGGUUCAUGGCAGCCGGAAGGUGGCCUUGGAGUGUGAGGAAGGCGAUGCGGCUUAUGCAGAAUCUGUUUGUGCAACGGAGGAGUUGAAGUUUUACAAAGACAAUGUUGACCCAACAGAUAUGACCUCUCUGAAAAAGCCGACUACGGAGCAUGAGCCGGCAAUGAAAUUUAAGUCAGCUGAUGAGACUAAACUUGUUGAUUUCGUUCCAGGUGACUCGUCUCAGCAGUUCAGCAUCAGUGCCAAUUUGGAUCCGAAAUAGGAAAGCGCGCUCAUCGAGUUCAUCCGUGAGAACAGGGACAUCUUUGCAUGGAAACCUUCUGACAUGCCAGGUGUACCUAGAGAACUCGCUGAGCACACUGUCAAUGUUGAUCUGAAAUUUAAGCCGGUCAGGCAAUUCCUUCGACGGUUUAAUGAAGAGAGGCGGAAAGCCAUUGGUGAGGAGGUGGCCCGGCUCUUGGCAGCCGGGUUUAUUGUUGAAGUCUUUCACCCAGAGUGGUUAGCUAACCCGGUGCUCGUGCUCAAGAAGAAUGGCACCUGGUGGAUGUGUGUGGACUACACGGACUUAAACAAGGCAUGUCCGGCUGAUCCUUUCGCUCUCCCUCGUAUUGAUCAAAUCAUUGAUGCCACGGCGGGUUGUGAGCGUUUAAGUUUCUUGGAUGCAUAUUCUGGAUACCAUCAGAUUAAAAUGGCAGUUAAGGACCAGGAUAAGAUGGCGUUCAUCACUCCCUUUGGAGCCUUCUGUUAUGUGUCUAUGCCUUUUGGACUCAAGAGUGCACAGGCGACUUAUUAGCGUUGCGUGCAGAACUGUCUUCAUAACCAGAUUGGGCGCAAUGUUCAUGCCUAUGUGGAUGAUAUUGUGGUUAAGUCCAGGGAGAAGGAAACCUUGAUAGAUGAUCUGAGGGAAACCUUUGAUAAUCUCCGGGUCUACAAGAUGAUGCUUAACCCGGCCAAGUGUGUUUUUGGUGUUCCUGCGGGCAAGCUCCUGGGUUUCUUGGUUUCUAACAGAGGCAUUGAAGCUAACCCGGAGAAGAUCAAGGCAAUCACCUCUCUGGCUAAGCCGGCAUGUAUAAACGACGUCCAGCGCCUGGCGGGUCGUAUCGCUGCUUUAAGCCGGUUUAUAAGCCGUUUGGGUGAGAAGGCCAUGCCAUUGUACCAGUUGAUGAACAAAACUGAUGACUUUGUCUGGAAUGAUGCUGCUAAUACUGCUUUUGAGGAUUUGAAGAGACAACUGGCGGAGCCCCCAGUCCUUGCUGCUCCGGUUGACAAGGAGCCUUUAUUGCUGUAUGUAGCUGCUAACACACGGGCCGUCAGUGUGGCUGUGGUGGUGGAGCGCAAGGAAGAGGGUAAGGAGCAUCCGGUUCAGCGGCUGGUUUAUUACGUCAGCGAAGUGCUCAUCGAGUCCAAACAGCGGUAUCCACAUUGGCAGAAGCUUGUUUAUGGUGUGUUCAUGGCAAGCCGGAAGCUUAAGCAUUAUUUCCACGGUCAUCCUAUCACUGUGGUUAGUUCUGCUCCCCUUGGAGAUAUCAUCCAAAACAGAGAAGCCACAGGAAGAGUGGCUAAGUGGGCUAUAGAGCUCGGGCCUCAUGGUCUGAAAUACGUACCACGCACUGCUGUUAAAUCUCAAGCUUUGGUAGAUUUCAUCAACGAUUGGACAGAGCUACAAGUGCCCGAAGAAAAGCCGGAUAAUACAUAUUGGACUAUUCACUUCGAUGGGUCCAGGCAAUUGGAGGGCUCGGGGGCUGGAGUUGUAUUGGCUUCCCCUAAAGGUGACAAGUUUCAUUAUGUGCUACGGUUGAUGUUUCCUUGCACUAACAAUGCGGCUGAGUACGAGGCCUUGCUCCAUGGUCUUCGGAUGGCUAAGUAGAUGAGCUUGAGCCGGGUAAGGUGCUUCGGCGACUCAGACUUAGUGGCUCAACAAGUAUCAGGCAAGUGGGAUUCCAAGGACCCUCUCAUGGCGGCUUAUCGCCGUGAAGUUGAUGCCAUUGCUGGACACUUUCAGGGUUACCAAGUAGAGCACAUCGAUCGCAGGAAGAACGAGGCGGCUGAUGCAUUAAGCCGGCUGGGCUCUCAGCGAAAACCGGUGCCGCCUAAUACUUUCUUGGACAUCCUGCAUAACCCUUCUGUUAACGUACCUACAGAGGAAGACUUGGCUGUCCCUGACCCGGAGGCACAGUUGGUGGCGGCUCUCCACAUCACCCCGGACUGGACGGUGCCAUACUUGGCUUACAUGACCCGGGGAGAUUUGCCUGAGGAUGAAACUUUGGCCAGACAAAUAACCCGGCGGUCUAAGUCAAUGGUUGUUAUCAAUGGUGAGCUGCAUCGCCGCAGUGUUAUGGGAGCGUUCCAGCGUUGUGUCUCCCCUGAGGAAGGUCAAGAAAUCUUGCGUGAGAUUCACGAAGGGGAUUGUGGCCAUCAUGCCGGCUCAAAAUCCCUUAUGGCCAAGGCUUUUCGUCAUGGUUUUUAUUGGCUGACGGCUCAUGCUGAUGCGGAGGACUUGGUCAGUAAAUGUGAUGGUUGCCAGAGGUUCUCGCGACGGGCUCAUGUGCCGGCUCAGGAGCUGAGGAUGAUUCCAAUUACUUGGCCGUUUGCGGUCUGGGGGCUUGACAUGGUUGGGUCUUUUAAAAGGUCCAAGGAUAAAAAGACCCACCUCUUGGUGGCAGUUGACAAAUUCACAAAGUGGGUUGAAGCAGAGCCAGUUAGUAAGUGCGACGCAGCCACGGCGGUUCAGUUCAUGAAAAGGGUGAUAUUUCGCUUUGGCUUUCCACACAGCAUUAUAACUGAUAACGGUACCAAUCUGUCUAAAGGCGCUAUGGAGGAGUUUUGUCAGCGUGAGCAUAUCCGGCUUGACGUUUCCUUAGUGGCUCACCCUCAAUCCAAUGGUCAAGCUGAGAGGGCUAAUCAGGAGAUUUUGAAGGGUAUCAAGCCCGGGCUUUUGGUCCCUUUGCAACGGACGCCGGGUUGUUGGGUGGAGGAGUUACCCUCCGUGUUAUGGAGCAUCAAUACUACCCCUAACAGGUCUACGGGUUACACGCCUUUCUUCAUGGUUUAUGGAGCGGAAGCAGUCCUCCCCAGUGACAUCCGUCAUGACUCGCCUCGAGUGGCGGCUUAUGUUGAGGCGGAUAAUGAACAGGCGUGCCAAGAUGCUCUUGAUUUGUUGGACGAGCAGCGUGACGUGGCAGCAGCUCGCUCAGCAAUUUACCAACAAGACCUGCGCCAUUAUCACAGUCGCCGGGUUAAGUCCUGGGUCUUCCAGGAAGGUGAUCUGGUGCUCCGGCUCAUCCAAGAUCAAACAGAUGCACACAAGCUAUCCUCGCCUUGGGAAGGACCUUUUGUGGUCAGCAAGAACUUGCACAACGGGUCAUAUUACCUCAUUGACAUUCGGGAGCACAAAGAUUCACGCAAGUCGGAGGAGGAGACCCGUCGGCCGUGGGACAUAGCUCAGCUUCGGCCUUAUUACACUUGAGCCACCGGCUCUCAUAAUGUACAUAUUUCUAUAAGCCAUGUAUAUAUUAUGAUAAGCAAUAAAGCAGGACCUCUGUCCUUUUUCUCCUCCAAAGGUAAAUGUGUUGUUUCCAUUACAAGAUCAUAUGGUAACUUGGAGGUGGAUCCGGCUUAUGAUCGUAUUCGAAUCUAGCCGUACGCAAUAUGAUCACUUGGGGGCUUCCUGUUCAAACAUAGGUCGUAUUCGAACCAAAGAGAACAUAACUGUCGAUACCCACUUGAUUGGCAAAGUGCCGAGCUCAUUGGGGAGUUUUCUUUGAUCAUAUUUGAAUCAUAGCUCAACCCCCUUUGGGAACCGACGUGGAUCGUAUUCGAAUCAGCGUCGUUAAACAACUCUUAAGGUCAUUUGGGGGCUUCCUGUUCAAACAUGGGUCGUAUUCGAACCAAAGAGAACAUAGCUGUCGGUACCCUCUUGAUUAGCAUCGCCAAACCCACUGGGGGAUAUAUGAUCGCAUUCGAAUCUUAGCUUAACCCCUUUGGGACGGGUCUCUGGUCGUAUUCGAACUGGAAGCCCCUAAGUUUUGAUUUUUUGAAUCUGCAACAAGUUCUUCUGAUUGUAUCAAUAGUGUGCACGGCGGUUCUUACUCCGCCGGCUUAAACUUUGAUUCACAGUGUUUGUCACACACAAUAAGCAUUAUCAAAACUGAUAAACCGGAAUUGAGGUACCAACCUCAUUAUCCGGGUUACAUAGACCGAAAGUAUACUUGAAGGCUUGUAAGUAUGCUAUUAUGGUGACUUAGAUUCAUAUUCCGGGUUAUAUGUAUGAGAUUAUGAUUCUCAGUGCGGUAAGCUGCCUAGAGACUUGUGAUUUGUUUUUCUAUGCAGGAUGGUUAAAGACAGAUAUUCGAGCUUAAGGAAAAUAAAUGAUCAAUUAUGACCAGGAGGAAUAUAAGGAAGCAACUUCAAUGGAGUUAAGCAUUCAACACGUGCACGAUGGCACGACAAAGUUAAAGUGUUGGUCCUACUCUAUUACAAGACUCCCCGAGUCCAAAAGGGUGAAGCAUUGUUUAACAAGCAUAAUCAUGGGCCGCCUAAAGAGUCAAGAUGCUUGCCGGGUCGAAGCUUCCGGCUCAUCCCUCUCCGCUCCUCCGAUUGUUCCUAUGACCUGGAAGGUUGACGAUUUCCAUUCAAUGCCGCUCAAAGCUUCAAAUUGAGCCUCCUCGUCAAUUAACCCGGCCGGGUCAAUUUCUGGGGCAAAGGUGUGCUUACGAGUCGGCGGGACCAAGCUGAUGGCUUCAUAACGCAGAGUGGGGAUCCUCCGAUUCUCUGCGUCAUAGUCCGGCUGGUACUUGGUCAGAUCGGUAUCAUUCCCAAUCAGGGUGGCCACCGGGCGCACGAUCUUCACACAGGCAGCAAAGUCUUUUUGGUCGAAGGGGGUGCCGUCUUCCUUCAGGCUGGGGUAUCCAAGUGCAAUGUCAGCCGGGUCUAGCUCUGGAAGGAACGCCUUGGCCCGGCUCAGAGCAGCUAUGGCUCCGGCUCUUGCAGAAGCCCGUCGCAGCUCUUGGAAACACUGAGGAAGAAUGGCAAGCCGGCGAAGUACGUCCGCCAGGUGAGUCAGAACCUCAUUAGACAGGGCCACAACGGCCAAGGCGCUGUGACCCGGUGUAAAGUUGUUCCACCAAAGUGUACACGGCCUUCAGCUUGGUCAAUACAUUUUGGUUGAGGUUGGCGCUUCUGGGACCUAUUUUGCAACGUCAGGUAAGCCGCUAGCAAUGAUGGGAAUUAUGAGACAUAGAGAAUGUAAACUUGUUGAAAGCCUGCAGAAUGACUUACCGAAGAUUGCGGCGACCAUCUGUGACACAUGGCGCUUUAAGCCGGAGAGUUCGGCGGUUCUCUCCGUCUGAGCCUUCUCCGCCUGUUCGGCCCGGCUUACCAGAGUAGCCUUCUCUUCGGCCCAAGUCUUCCUUUCGGCUUCAAACUUCUUCUUCAGCUUCUCUUGAGCAGCAAUACUGGAUUCAAAUUUGGCGUUGGCCUUCCGGGUCUCAGUUUCCUGAGUCUUCAGGCGGUUCUUCAGCUCAGAGAUGUCAGCCUCAAAUUUCUUGCAAGCAGCCUGUACAAUUUCCGGUUUAUAGUAUGAAUAAUUAUUAUGCAAUUUUAAAGCCCCAAGCACUUUCCAAGCAAAGACACUUGGCACUUGGGGGCUAAUGUAUGUCGAAAGUUUUUAUCUACAAAUUACCGGUUCAUGGAAGUAAGCCGGAAGCUAAGUCUACAACAUAUUCUAUCAUAAGUAGUAGACUUGGGGGCUAGUAUGAUAAAGAUGACUAUGCAGUAAGUACUAGAGUGGUACCUCAGACUUCUGCUGUAUCUGCUUCACCAUGUCAAUCUCCAGGUCCCGGCUGUUGUGCACCUGAUUGACAUAGCCGGAGAUGAUAUCUCCAAUGCUCAGGUUUGCGUAGUUGGUGAUGUCCAGCUUGGCCCUACGGCGCUCUAGUAGCUCUUCCUUGGCAGAGCACUUAGCCAGCGCAGUGGGUCUCCCCGGCUCGACAAAUUCCGUCCGGGUGAUUACCACGUCCGGGUCAUCGGCCGGCUGAGCCGGGUUGGAGAUCUCCGGGUUAGCAGAAGUCUCUGUGAUUGGCUCGUCGGUUGGAGUGGUGGCUUUAGGAGCAGAGGCAGCAGGCGGCUCUUGAGCUGAAGCCUCCGGUUCAGUCAGGACCGGCUCUUCGACCGGCUUAUUCUUCUUCGCUCUCUUACUGAGCUUUGCCUGGGCACUGAAAGAACAAAAGGUUAGUACAAAAGUAUGAGUAAAGAUAAGCACAACAAGAGAUGAUCAUCAUUACCCGGGUACGGUCUUGAAAGCCGGCAAGUUCGAUUGCAUAGAGUCACCAGAGGAAGGUGAAGUUUCCUGAUAGUUUGAAUCAGAAGAAUUGAGCGGUUGAGGUAUAACACCCGCCAUAGGAUGAAAAGGAUAUAAGUUGGAGAUAACCUCGGUCCGGCGCUUCCUCGACGCUUCAGGUAAGCCGGAGGAGAGGUCUGCAUCUUUGUUGGUCCGGGUGUGCCGCCGGCUCUCACGAAUCUGUUGCUUCAAAAGAAAUCGAGGAUCUUGAUAAGCUAAAGGAUGUGAAAAUCUUACUUUCCGGGUUACUCUUCGGACUUUCAGCCUUGGCAAGGGCUCCGAGUCGGAGGAAAGUGUCAUUACCUCUUCAGUCACCGGGUUACUUGCUCCGGUGUCAUCCUAUGGAUAAUCAAGUUAAUAAGGUGGCCAAAAGACAGCAGAAAAGCGGAAACAAAAACAAAGAGCCUACAGAUUCAGGGGUUACCUCUGACUCGGAGCUAUCGCUUAGCUGAAGCAGCUCUGAGGUAGUAGGCCUGCUUCCCUUCUUGCGAGGAGCGGCUCUCCUGGCGGCUUUCUUAGCCUUCCUGGCCUUCUUGGCCGCCUCAUGGUCAUAUUUGACCUUCCAGAAUUUGUCAUUAGCCUGAAAUAUACAACAAAGAUUUCUUAAAAGUUCAGAGGGAGAUUAUUCAAAGGAAAACCAAGGUGUUCAGGUCAGUGACUUACCGCCGGAGCCGGGUUAGCUUGGCAGAAGGGGUUCAAGCCGGUCCUCCCACAGUCGGCUAAGCUCUCAUUCAGGAGAGACUUGGUCAUGUCGUCCACAACAUCCUCAGGAAGAUCAUUGGGACUGUGCCGCAGAGGGUCAUCCUUCCGGCCCGUAUAAGCACACAUUAAGCCGGGGCGGCGGCUCAAAGGGAUCACCCGCCAGGAGAUCCAAACCCGGACCAGAUCAAUGCCGUUGAGGCCGUUUCCCAGGAGAGCCUUGAUCUUGUUGAUGGUGGGGAUCAGAGGUUGACGCUCCGCCUGAGAUAGUUUGUCUGGCAGAGGGUGAUUUGGUUCCAGACGCACGGCACGAAAGCCGGGCAGAGGGCUCUCGUCAGCCGGAGAAGUGUCCUGGCAGUAGAACCACGUCUGGUUCCAUUCUUUUGGGUGGCUUGGCGGCUCAGCGUAAGGAAAAAGGCAAUCUCUCCGUCGUUGAAUGGAGAUUCCACCAAGUUCCAGACUCGGCCCGUUGGCGCACUCGUUCUGGCAGUUUAGAUAGAACAGCUCCCUAAAAAGCAGCAGGCUGGGCUCUUCUCCAAGAUAGACUUCGCAGAAUACUUGGAAGUUGCAUAUAUUUGACACGGAAUUGGGUCCUAUGUCUUGUGGCCGCAGAUCAAAGAAGUUCAGAACAUCCCUAAAGAAUUUUGAGCCGGGCGGUGCGAAGCCCCGACUCAUGUGAUCAGCAAAGAUAACCACCUCACCAUCUCUGGGUUGAGGUCUCUCCUCUAACGGGUCAGGGGCAUGAUAAGACAUGAUCUCUUUCUUGGGCAAGUAACCCAUCUUUACGAAAUCAGCUAAGGUGUCGUCGGUGACGUUGGACCUCAUCCAGUUGCACGUGAUGGGUGCUUUGGGAGCUUUGGGAGGCAUUGUGAAAGAUGAAGCCUAUGACAGAAGGAAAAUGUCCGGUUCAAUUAUAAGCCGGCAGAUGUCUACAGUUUAAAUACUCAAAUGGCGGCUUAUGAGAGGGGCCUAAUGACAUAUGGUUAAAUGCAUCGGGUUAUCUAAGCCGCUGAAGGUAUCAUGAGUAAUUCAAAUUGUCUACAGCUUUAUCAUAAAUGAGCCGGAAAGUUUACGGCGCAUGGCUUCUUUUGAGCCGGAAACGUAAGCCGCCAUAGCUCAGUAGAGGCAAUUUUUCACUAAGUGUGGUGAAAACAAGUUUCACAGAUCGCAGUAAUUAUUUUGGAUCAAACGGAUGGCUAAAAGGAAAAGUUUCUAGACCUAGCACAGACACAGAAAAAGUUCGAAGGUUUGAACGGAGCCUUUAUGCAGUGAAAGGGGAUCUAUGUACAUUGGGAAUGGGAGUGAAACAGCUACCGCGGCAGUUUUGUACAGUCUAAAGAUCAAGAAAAGGUGGUAAUAAUGAAAUCUACCAAGAGCUCACGAUGAACGACGACGAACACGGGAAGAACAUUAAGAACCCUAAUGCGGAUCUAUUCUAUGGAGUAACAAGGGCUUACGGGUGCUGGAAGAGUUGCGGAGGUCGCCGCCGUUUAUCUGGUCACGACAGAUUGAUGCAGCGGCCUGAGUUGGUGAAGACAAGAAGACCCGCGGCGGCGGCGGCGGUGGAGCUCGAGCGGGAGCACAGUGGCGAGAGGAAGAAGAAGAUGGAGGCGACGAGUGACUGGAGGCUCAUCGGGCCGGGCUAUUUAUAAGGCGAGGCUCAUAAGUGGGCGCGAGAAACAAGGAGGUCACGGCGUGAUUAUCUCACCACAAAAACGCCUCGAUUUUCGGGAUGGCCUUUAAGGAUAAGAUCCGUUGAGGAUAUGGUGGAAUAAAAAAAUGGACUUAAUGGAAGAUGACGUCACGGCGGGUUACCAGGAAUCCAGAAGAUGACGUCACGGCGGGUUAUAGCCUUCACACGACCGUAAGCCGGAAGAUUUUUUCUCUCAAAAGAAUUGAAGAUCGACAUGAACCGGUUCAAAUCAAUCUGGGGCCUAAUGUUGAGGAUAUAACCCUUAGAGUCACCCGCCAGGAGGGGCCGGGUUACUCAUAAUGGUCAUCACGCGAAGCCCAGUACCGAGCUUGAAGACGGCGGGUCAAUGAUGGGCCUAAGACCCGGAGAUAUCUUAAGGCCCGUAGUGAUAACCGCCAUUAUGGUAGAACUUGUAGUGUAAAGCAAGAAUAGUUGAGAGUCCGAGCCGGACACUCUUAUGAGCCGGCCGAGACUCUGAGAGCCGCUGGGCGUCAACCUUCUCUGUAUAAAGGGACAACCCGACGGCGGUUUAGAAAAAGGUAGGAUCUCGUCGAGAGUCAGGCAUAGCAAUCAAGCUCUCUGGUCAUCGAAACCAUAAGCAAUACCACCUCAACUGGACGUAGGCUUUUACCUUCACCGUAAGGGGCCGAACCAGUAUAACCCUCGUGUUCCUUGUCCCGUUUAACCCCUUCAAGCUUCCUAGCUGCGAUGGCUCCACGACUAAGUCCUAACUCGAGGACAUCUGUCGUGACAAUUCCACGACAGGUGGAGUUGCAGCCCACGGAGGUUCAGAUGCGUGCGAGGAUGCAAACCAUACCUGGAGCGCCAUGGAGUCGUGGGCGAGCUUGUAGUCCUUGUAGAGGAAGUAGCCGCCGCCUGCCACCGCCGCGAAGGAGGCCAGCCACACCCGCAGUAUGAACCCCAUCCUCCUCCACGCCGUUGAGGUCCCACACGAACCGUCAAGCGCCGCCGCGCUCCGCCUGGCAACCUACCGUGGACGACAGCGACGAUGCUGCGGACGGCCGUCUCGGCAACACACACUCCUCACCACGACAUCCAGGACCUCUCCGAUGUGGCCGGGCGCUCUCUCGCGUGGUGCGGCGGCCGCCCGUGCUGCCUCUGCCGAGGACCAUGGAAAGGAGAGGGGGACGUGAGACCGUGGAGAGGAGAGAGGGACGGGGGACCAUGGAGAGGAGAGGGGGACGGGAGAGGCGGCGGCUAGGGUGGAAGGGGAGGGGGCGGCGGCGGCGGCUCUCCCUCGCGUGAGAGGAAGCGGAUUGGGGACAGGAGAGGAAGCGGAUUGGGGAGAAACCCUGGCGUUAGCCUUUUAUACCACGUAGUGAAAUUCCGAAAAUGCCCUCGGUGGGGUGCUGUAUUAACAGGCAGUGGCACGAGAUCUUUAUUGCGGGCUUCAUUGCUACAGGCGCGCUGGGUCGAUCCGACGGCCAGACUCGAUUUAACGGACAGAAAUGCAUCAAGCAAACAAAUCGAACGGCCAGAAUGCUCUGAACUCUGAGAAGGCUCGGGAGUGCCUCAAUCUCUUAUUUCUCGAUGUAUGUGUGUGUUAAAAACGGAAAACCCCACUUACUUACGACCAGGUCCCACCUACGACUACGAGCGCCAUUAUAUAUUGAAUAAGAAAAGAUACCCUGAGGCGCCGGCGCAUAAUAAAAGGAGACGUUGGAGUCUUUCCCUUUGCCCCAGCCCGAAUUAAACCCCUCCUUCCUCCUCCCCCUCGCUUCUUCGCGGAAUCCAAACCCCAAACACCAGCCAUGGCCAUGGCGUCCUUCCGCCCCCUUCCCCUCGCGCUCCUGCUCGCCGCGUGCCUCUCCGCGUUCGUGCUGGCCGUGGCGCACGCGCGGACCCCACGGCUGGAGCCCACCAUCCGGCUGCCGUCGCAGCGCGCCGCCGGGCAGGAGGACGAUGACUCCGUCGGGACCAGGUGGGCCGUCCUCAUCGCCGGUUCCAACGGCUACUACAACUACCGCCACCAGGUGCGCACGCGCUAUACUGCUCUUUGCUCGUUCGCAUCUCCGCGAUCCUCGAUUUUCCGUUCAUGUUUUGUCUUCCUGUCGGUUAAUUCCUGGUGUGCAUCGCCGGAAGAACAGGUUGAAGAAAAAAAGUUCCGUUUGCUCUUGCUGCGUGUUCCGGUCCUAUUUUGUGUGGUUGAUGAUUUGUUGAGUAAUCCUACCGCAAUUGAACUAUGAUUGGCAAACCCUGUUAAUAUGAUGAUAUUGGCGCGGUGCCAUAUCGCCGUGAGGCAAAUACUUGGUUUAAGAACGAUUUCGUGUGCAUCUCCUUUCGCAUAUGAACUGGGAAAACAAAAAUAAAUAUCCUAGAUAUGAGAUUUCCUGAUUUUGGGGGCCUGCGUGUUUGUUGUGGGCUCCAUCCACUGAUAAGUGUAUUAUUGUAGUAUACAACCCUUGUGGUUCCACCCACUAAUAAGUAUGGUUCCUGAUGCUAGUAUUUUGUCUAUAUAUAUAAAUAGUAAAACGUAAUGAUGUACUCCCUCCGUUCCUAAAUAUAAGUCUUUGGAGAGAUUCCACUAGGUGGACUACAUACGGUGCAAAAUGAAUGAAUCUACACUUAAAAUGCAUCUAUAUACAUCCGUAUGUGGUUUAUAGUGAAAACUCUACAAAGACUUAUAUUUAGGAACGGAAGGAGUAAUUAACUGCACUGGUCAGCCAAAAUGAUUUUGUUGUUGCCACGUACUGGCAGGCUCUAUGAACACGAUUUCAGCUAUGUGUGUGACAGUGCUACCAUAAGGAUGAAAUUGGGAGGGGUCAGUGACGACAAUGAAGUACUGUGUUUGAUUUGUGGACCGGAAUUUUGCACUUUGCAGGCGGAUAUCUGCCACGCCUACCAGAUCAUGAAGAAGGGUGGUCUCAAGGAUGAGAACAUCAUCGUAUUCAUGUACGACGACAUUGCGCACAACCCGGAGAACCCGAGGCCGGGCGUCAUCAUCAACCACCCCCAGGGUGGAGAUGUCUAUGCUGGAGUCCCUAAGGUAAUCAUGCGUCUUCAAGGAAAAUUUUCCAGUAAUUGUUGAUGUAGUAAAAAUCUAAGGUUUGUAGAUAGCCUUACUAGGUGCUACAAACUGUUUGAUGGUUGCAGAAAAAUGUGAAUAUGAUAUUCUAGAAAUUACACGAAGGGAAAUUUCAAUAGCAGUUUGCACCUCAUUGAAAAUGAUUGAAUGUCUAAAUUUUUAUCAGUCUUUAUGUUAUUUUCCAAUUGGUCGUGGAUAAGAAGAAUGCCAACUUUCUAUGUGAUAACGUCAACAUCUUAAUGGAAUGAACCAAUUCUAAUGAUCAUGCAUCCCUAUCCACAAUUUUACAUCUGUUCGACUGAAUAUUUCUGUUACGACUGUAGGACUACACUGGAAAGGAGGUUAAUGUCAAGAACUUCUUUGCUGUCCUGCUCGGUAAUAAAACCGCUGUGAGUGGUGGGAGCGGCAAAGUCGUGGACAGUGGCCCUAAUGAUCACAUUUUUGUGUUUUACAGUGACCAUGGGGGUCCUGGGGUCCUUGGUCAGUAUUCAGAACCUGCCAUUCUUGCGCUUCCUGUCUUUUAUUGCCUUCUUUCGAGAAUUUUAAAUAUCUGAAACCAGUCAGAACAGAUAUUUCGUAUACAUGUAUUCAAAUCCAGAUAUGCACAAUUAACUUAUUAGUGUCAUGGUUUUUUCAUUCUGGUAAAAAAUUCAGGGAUGCCUACCUAUCCAUACCUUUACGGUGAUGAUCUUGUAGAUGUCCUGAAGAAAAAGCACGCUGCUGGAACCUACAAAAGCCUGGUACGCCAUCGCUCUUUGGUUUAUUUUUGCUCUGCAUGGUGUGCUGCUUGAAGCAAUGGCCUGAGGUGUAUAGUCAUCUUCUUUUGUAGGUAUUUUACCUUGAAGCCUGCGAAUCUGGGAGCAUCUUUGAGGGACUUCUGCCGAAUGACAUCGGUGUCUAUGCGACCACCGCAUCAAAUGCAGAGGAAAGCAGUUGGGGAACGUAUUGCCCCGGCGAGUACCCGAGCCCUCCACCGGAAUAUGACACUUGCUUGGGCGACCUGUACAGCAUUUCUUGGAUGGAAGACAGGUACUUUAUUCCUCGUCCUUCUACCAUGUUUUCCAUUCAGACGCUAAAAUCAUGUACUGUUAAGGUCAGUUCGAACGCACAUGUGGCGCUCAUGUCAGUUAGUACUUUCUGCUACCGUACAGGGUGUGUUAUUUCAAAAUGAUUAACCAACUAGUACGGCACUACCUGCUAUCUUUCUCUAUUUAAGUAAGACGCUGGUGAUACGCAUGUGUUCUCUGAAUGAGGGUGAUAUGCAUGUGUUGCUUACUUUUAGGUGCACAUGAAUCACAAAUACGUGUGCUGUGUGCAUAGCAUGUGCUGUGGUUUUUACUGAGCUCUAAGCAUGUGCUGACUAUGUUGUCUUGUUUGGUCCCUUAACUACACAGAAUAAAUCUGAUGUCAGGUCUGCCUGCCCGACUCACCGUCAACUCUUUGAGCUUGAUCACACAAAACCCUGCACACAUGCAGGCGCACGCGCACACAGACGCACGAGCGCACACGCAAGAGCACACACACGCACAGCCCAUACACUAUUGCUGCAGGGUGCAGUUCGGCUGAAUACCAUGCAUUUAACUGGGCCGAUUAGAGCUAUUUUUCUGCUGGCUGUAAACUGCAUCCUGUAGUAACAAACAACGAUUGCAGGGCAAAUCUGAUGGCCAUGGAGCUUGGGGCUUCUUUCGCUGUUAAUGCUCCAUGUAGAAAUAGCUGUAGCUGUUGCACACAACCAUAUUCUUAUGAAAUUGCAACAGAACAUCACCUGUAUGUACUCCUAUCGGCUGUCAUGGUAGUGAUUGUUGCAGUUCACCCUUUUAUAGAUGAACCCCGAGUCAAAAUCCUUGGGUUAUUUGUUUGAAAAGAACUUGUUUUUCGUUAUGGUUCUUAGCCAUUUUAGUUGUGCUCAAAUAACAUUGAACUUUCAAUGUUGACAGUGAUGUCCACAACCUGAGAACUGAAUCUCUCAAGCAGCAGUAUAACCUGGUAAGUACUUAAAACUUCAAUUUCUUUUAGCUUAAAUCUUGGAGCAGUUCUUUACUAACAUAACCUAAUGGUUGAGUAGGUCAAGAAGAGAACGGCAGCUCAGGACUCAUACAGCUAUGGUUCCCAUGUGAUGCAAUACGGUUCUUUGGACCUGAAUGCUGAACAUUUGUUCUCGUACAUUGGGUCAAACCCUGCUAACGAGAACACUACAUUUGUUGAAGAUAACGCACUGCCAUCAUUCUCGAGAGCUGUUAAUCAGAGGGAUGCUGAUCUUGUUUAUUUCUGGCAGAAGGUUUGUAAUUAUAUCGUGAGAAAUCUCGUAUGUUGAUUUUAUUGUCAUGUGAUCUGUUGAUCAUUGCCAUGCUUUACCCUCAACAGUAGCAUAUGCAUAAACUCGGUAAAAAAGACGGAUAAACUAACGGAUUAAUUUCUUUUGUUCUGCAUGUAGUACCGGAAAUUGGCCGAGAGCUCCCCUGAGAAAAACGAUGCUCGGAAGCAAUUGCUUGAAAUGAUGGGUCAUAGAUCUCAUAUUGACAACAGCGUCGAGCUGAUUGGAAACCUUCUGUUUGGUUCUGCGGGUGGUCCGAUGGUUCUAAAGGCUGUUCGCCCAGCUGGUGAACCUCUUGUUGAUGACUGGAGUUGUCUCAAGUCUACGGUAAGGCUCUAUUUGACUUUGGUUGGUCAUCUAUCAGCAUCUCUUAUCUUAUGCUUCUGUUGUGUUUUGCUGUUGCCUAUUGAUCAUAUGUUAAUUGUUUGGAACUGGGACAAAAUUCUUUAGAUUUGCUUCCAGUACCAUAAUAGUAGUAUAUACUCUUGCAGGUAAUUUCUUUGUUAUUGGUUGGCUGACAAAGAGAAUUGUGUUUAUCAUUUCCCAGCGCUUCACUACAGUUGUCCACAACUUUUUAGUGUCUGUUCCAGUUACAUGUCCAUUAAGAGAAUAGGUAGUGUAGUUAAUGCAUUCUUUAGCAUUCCACCCACACUUUAUGCUUUUGAAUAGGUCAGGUGGUUGUAGCAUGUCAUUUUGCCAGAGGAAUGCAGGGUCAUUUCUCAUCAACUCUUCCUUAGAUUUAGUGUUCUGUUGGUCUAUGCACAUGGUGGGUUGAGGACAAUUAUAGCAAAAGAAGUGGAGUGGUUGACUUGGCAUAUGUAAUUAGGUCAGAGUAUUACUUCUAGGAUGAAAAAAUAAUUUAUGAAUUUCCAAAUUUCUAAAACCAACCAGUUUGGUAAUCAGCACUGAAAGGGGAGGAGUGAAUGUGAAAAAGGGGAUCAGCAUGCCCCUGCCUAUGUCGUGGUUCAUAUAGUUAUCAAGGCAUCUGUUACUUUGUACCUGGAUGAUCUCUCAACAGCCAAACUGUCUGAGCAAUGGUCAGUUGAACUAUUCAGGAUCGAUAUUUUCUGUAUUGAAACUUUGGAUGCUCUAAGUAACUAGUUUCUUUACUUGAACAUAUUGCCAGCUCCCAACUUUAUACAUACAGGUGUCAUACGGGAUAUAAUGCAGUAUUGCAGUUACAGUUUGUAAUUUAUGUUGCCCAUGCAUGACUAAUAUGUGUCUUCCCUUUCUUCAGGUGCGUACUUUUGAAUCACAAUGUGGCUCGCUGGCGCAAUAUGGAAUGAAGCACAUGCGGUCCUUUGCAAACAUCUGCAAUGCCGGCAUUGUUCCUGAAGCGAUGGCAAAGGUUGCUGCUCAGGCGUGCACGAGCAUCCCAACCAACCCCUGGAGUGCCACACACAAGGGUUUUAGUGCUUAAACCUGAGGUGAAGCAACUUGGUCCCUAUCUCAGCUAUUGUACCAUAUACCAAAGUCCUUUCCUAUUCACACAGGGUUAGUAGUGCUUGAACCAACGAACCUUAGAUGAAUAAGAAUUAUGCCAUUACUUCAGCUAUUCCACCACACCAAAUUACCUUGGCUGUGUCCAACUUAUAAUGUACAUAUACCCGUAGUAGAAAGGUGAUUUCCUGUGAUUGCUGUACAUACUCGUGAUAGUUUGUGAUCAGAUGUGUAGCUCGCAAUUCCAUAUAAGAAGAAUGCAAUCGCUGCUAUUUGUGCGUGACUGAGUAAUCUCAUACACCUACUAUGAGCUUCUAUUUCCCCAUCCAUUUGAAACCCUGCAGGUACUGAUUGACCUUCUUGUUCACAUGGAACAACAUGGUUCUGACAUCCGCAUGUGAUGUAUCACAUUCUGAUUCAUGUCGGUUUCGAAAAAAAGAACAUUCUGAUUCAUGUGUUUUUUGCUGUAACAUGCAUUCCUUGCUUUCUGGUUGCGAAGUAGGGAGUAUGACACAACCAACUAUAGCUAUUCUUGGAAAUAAAUACAAAUAUUGUUAAUGAUUGCUGCCAUCGCUGUCGGAAGUGGGCUAUAUUUCACACAGAGAAGAGUGUUGCACCACCGACUGUUACACAUAUGAACAUGUUUUUAGGGAAAUUUCUUUUUAAUGUUUCAUAAAUCUGGACGCUCGUAAGUGACGAAGUGUUAACCAUGGCAUGGCACCUACUGAGAAGUUUUCACACAUAUCCUCACUCGAGGACAACCUACAACCAAAUAAUCAUCUCCCGUGAGGAUUUCCCGCCUUUGCCGAACGGAGUUACUGAACCAACCUGAAUGUUUCGUGCCAUCUGGAGAACUGCGAGAUUUGUUGUAAGCCUAUACAAAUGCAUUGAGUAGACUAUAGUAAUGAAACUACAAUCAGAACCUUACAAGUACCAACAGACAUGCCCAUUACCUUUGGCGGCGCAAGGAAUGAUCUCCAACGAGGAAUUUCCAGCCUAAAGACACAGGGUUGUUGAACUACUCCCUGAUUAUACAUUCAGGGUAGUUUACCCUGAAUGUUUGUCUCACUCGUCAAACAAAGAAGGCCCAGGGGUCACCCAAAGAAAAGAAAAAGCCCACACGCUCAGCACACCUUGGCAGGUUUACUAUAAGCAUGUAUAAUCACUCUAAUCCAUUAGUUAGUUCAUCAGUUCUGGAAGAGUGAUAGAGCUGCUGUUCUCUCAAAGUUUGUGUAGCUGGGCAUACCACCAUCACUGCUUUUCUUUUGGCAAGCACAUGCAAUGCAAUAUACGCAACGACAAAGGAAUCGAGCCCACCCGACACAAAUAAAAGAAAAAGGGACUCAAAAGUCACGUUAAGAAAAUGCAUUGUUGGGCUGUGAUCGUGAAUACUCAAAACGUUAACAGCACUACAGUAUGUGCUAAUCAUGCACGGAUUAGCCUUCUAAGGUGGCAAUAACUAGUAUAGUACGUAGUAGAGUAGUUGAAGGAUCAAUUUUCUUUGGCUCUUGAGUACACACGGAAGGAUCCUGCAGAAGCUUCCAAUUGCUUUGCGGUUGUGGCAGCUGACUAGUAAAUAUUAGUAUUGAGGCUAAUGAUGCGACAGAGAUGCUGAAACGUUUGAAUAAGUCAGAUUUGUUGGCUUCACACCGAGCCGCAAUACUCCUACUUGGAUGAAUCAUCAAGAAGUAGUACUAGUAAUUAACGAUGUAACUCAUGUAGGUCCAUGGCAGUUGAAGGACACAUGAUUCCUGAGAAAGAUUAAUAAAUAAGUGAAGAAUUAUGUGUACAUAUCGCUUUCGCUUUGGGACGGAUGCGCAACAGCUGUGCUUGGCUUGGCCACAAGCCGCCGUGGAGCAAUGUAGGUACUACUACAUGCAUGUGCAAGCGAAGCAUCGAAUAACAUUUUUUUAGUUUUGAUGUGGUACGUGCGUGACAAGGUCCAACGGCGGCGUGCCAUCUACCGAUCACAAGGAAGGAACAAAUCACCGGUGCAUGAGCAUGAGCUGGUGACCGACCGGUGAUUAUAAGGUAAAGAAAAGAACAUCCAGCCGUUGCGGGCCGCCGGCGUCGACAACAAACUGAGCAGCGUGUUGUUGAUUGUUUUUGAGACAGCUAACCGCUUACCGCUUAUUUCAAACGGUAACUUUUUUUUGAGAAUUUUUUUAUUCAUAUCAUGAAUCAGUACAAAGAAGUUGACCCUUACAAACACACUGAAACAUAAACAUAAAGGAUCAUGAACAUCUAGAGUAUCUAAGACAACCAUAACACAAGAAGAUCUCCGGAGCCCUGUGUCAUUAUCCCUGAAUCUUGAGAGAAGACCCCUGCAGCAGAAGGAUCUGCAACUAGUCGCAAGCAGUCAUCAUCUUCGACCACGGUACAAUUGCCGCCACGCUGCUUCCUCCUUUCUUGACACCAGCGCUGAGAGGGCAUGGACAUCAAUCCAACACACCUGCAACAGCCGUCGCCAUCUUUGGCUUUGAGUACCGCGAAAAGUGUCCCUUCCGGAAGGAAGAGAACUCGAGUCAUCCGACCGGUCCAGCACCGCGGCCGGGCCAUCCGUCCGGACAAAGUAGGAUCUCCCACCAGCAUCAGCGAGGAGGAAGGAGAAGAACAGCAGCAACAAAUCAUACCAACAAGGAAGAAGAAGAGUCUUCGUCUCCCUGCAUCCAUCGCCCAUCUGAGGACCCAAACGGCCAGUGUCGAUGGACCUCCAGCCACCAAAGCCCGCGACCUCGACGAGACCCGGGGAUCCCCAACUCCGCUGGCUCCUAGACGAAGGCAAAAGCCUCGCCUGACCGCGAACGGAGCCUGGAGAAACUUAUUCCGACGCGACACCACCGCAACGGCCUCGGCAGCGUCUCCCUCAACCCUAACCCUACCACACACUCACCUAGCGAACAGACCCGAGGUUCCCCUUCCUCCCGCCGCCGGAGCGGCCGACGGAAAGAGGGAACCGGCGGCGUCACCGGUGGCGCGCAAGGGAACCCUCGUCGCCUCCCUGAUCGCCCGUGCGAUCCUACUUUUUCGCUGUGUUGGUUUGCAACGAACUCUCGCGCCCACGCGUCCGCAGCCAAACGUUUAUUUCAAACGGUAACUGAGUAGCGUGUUGUAUUCCUGUGCAGCCAACCGGGACAUGUGUCUGUUUGGCAAAAGAAGCAAGUGUCACGCGUGGGACGUGAGAGCCGGCGUUAAACGUGGUCCCUUUUGGCCUUUGCGCGUCCAACGCCCUGCCUUCGCGUCGAAGCAAGGCAAGCGAACGGCGAAAUGGGUCGCCAGCUCUCUAUGUUUAGCAAUGGCCGCUACGCGUACGUCUGUCUGUCUGUUUAUACGUGCAGCUACAGCAGGCCGGUGAUGGUCUACGUGAGAUCUUUUGGUUGCACUGCAUUGCAUGUACCCAGUUCACACCGUUGAAGUAGCACGCAUGAACCAAAACCGUCGAUCGAUGGGUUCUACUUUUACGCGCGAGCUGUACAAACUUACACGCUCAGGAUCAGGAUCACACAGGGUCGGCCUGUUUCGCUGCCCACCUUGCCCAAAAAACGACGGUGUGAGGUCCCCUGGGCAGCAAAGGCAAAAUGUGGACGUCGUACGCGUCUCAAAGCCAGCCGCAAAACUCGCAGCCGACACGUUUGCCGACCUUGCUUCCCACCAAACUAAGAGCAUCCGCUAAACUGUGGUACCGUAAAAUUCGUUUAUGCGAUACGGUAAAUUGAUUUUGCGGUACCGCACGCGGAACGGCAGAAUGGAUCCUAUAACAUGCAUUAUACUUCCUCCGUUUCUAAAUAUAAAUCUUUUUAGACAUUUCAAAUAGAAUACAACGUGUGGAUGUAUGUAGACAUAUUUUAGAGUGUACAUUUACUCAUUUUACUCUGUAUGUAGUCAUCUUAUGGAAUCCCUAGAAAGACUUAUAUUUGAGAAUGGAGGGAGUAUAAUUUAAACAUAGUACUUCCCGUUACGAUUUUUUGCCCGAAUUAAGAUAGAGUUCAUCACAAACUUGACACAUACGAGAACCCAAAUCUAACUACUCAUCAUCGCCAUCAAGGAAUUGGAGAGGACGAAGGUGAGGUCGUACUCCUCCUUCGCCGCCUCCAGCCACGCCGCGGCACCUUCUUCUUCGGCGGUGGCCGCCUCCUUCAACUAGAAGAAUGCGUGCUCCGGCUCCCGGAGGUGCUUGGUCGUUAGCCAGAAGAUCUUGCGGAGGUGGUCGAAGUUCUGCCACGCCUGCUGACCAUCGUUGCGGGAGAGUGCGACACGCUCCUGCGCCUGCUUUGUGCCACUCCUCCACCGGCGAGCGGAGGGAGGAGCUCCCGGCCUCAUCGUCAUGGCGGCGCUUGUGCGGCAGCGAGCCGCCGCAGCUACCCCUCUCAUACCCGGCACUUGACAUCGGGGCGGCCGUUGUGUGCCUGUGCACAUGGCAAAGUGCGGCCGAAGGCAGAGGAAUUUCUCAUGCGGAGGGAAUGAUUUGCGAUGGAGGAGGGAAAGGGGAAAUGCCGGAUGCGAUCCCUAAAACGCGGCCACUCCGAUAUACAUAAACACGGGCGAUUUAUGGGUCGCCCGUAAAAAAAGCCGGGCCGUUUCUACGGUAUCUGGUCGGGCCGGCCUUUUCACGCGUAUUGUAAAUCUGCCGAAAUUUAAGGGGUCGGCGAGCUUUAUACGUGAUCUGAUAGAGAUGCUAUGAUUCACCGCAAUGCACACCUCACUCUAUUUAUCACUUCUACCGCUUCAUUUAAAUUUGAUUGAAACCUUAAAAUCCUCUACUACUCCUACCGUUUGUUUAGGGCAUCCCCAUAUCUCCCGCACUUCUUAAAAAAAAGAGUAAAAUGCACCCGCGGUCAUUGAACUUGUGUAAAAAACUAAUUUUGGUCACUGUACUUAAGAAUACGGUCAAUACGGUCACUAUAUACGACUUGAGGUGAUUAUACGGUCACUGGGUCACCGUAUAGCUUCGUAUUUUACUCUGUUGACUGGUCAAACAUCACAACACCCUUUCUCUAUCUAUGUGGGCCCCAACUGUCAUUGAAAAACGCCAUGCAUGGCAGGAGAACCAGCGAUCAUCUGUUGAAGCCCACGUACGUUAACAACUGUGCUCACACGACUUCGUUUUAAUUUGUCAAUAAAAGAACACAACUUCUUGUUAAACAUAUAUACUCAGAGAACACGCAUACUACACACUUAAACGCAUAUUUAAUUAUAACACACACACAACACGCAAAAAAAAACCUGGGGGCUCUCGCGAUCGCUAUGGCGAUCUGGCGGUGACGGAGAUAGUGCGUGAGGGACAUGGCGUCGGACCGCCGGUGGUCCCGCCGGAGAAAGGGGGCAGUCCUCCUGGAGAGGGCCUCGAAGGUGGCCUAUUCAGCGUGCGGGAUUGGGAAAUCUUCCGAGCAAGAGCAAGGCGAAUCAUCCAGCGGGCGGCGAAUCGGGACCACUGCCUGGCGCUGGCGAGAAGCAGAGCAAAGGAGAUCCCAGCGUCCUGGCAGGUUAGUUCCUUCCUACUAUUGAUGCGGGAGUUUCGACCCGGUCAAGUAAGACGAAGAUACCAAAGAAUCUGGUGUUGGGCGCUUCUUUGGAAGCCGUUGAUUCAGACUCUGCGGACUGCCAUAUGGAGCCAGUGCCUUUGGCAGGAUAUUCAAUUUUCUUAGGAAAUAGGGAGAGGAAUCAGGGGGGAGCGAUUGCAGCUUCGGAUUUGAUCCGGGGAGAUGUUGAUUUUAAUUGUAAUGGCAAAAAAAGAGGAAGUUCCGUUGGAAUUGUUAGGAAACGGACUAAUCAAGAGCAUUUAAUUUCUGUUAAUUGUAUCAAUUAUGGAUUAGAGGAUUUGAGGGUGGGGGACAAGAGGUGCUAUAUCUAUGGCAAUAGGGGACACCCCUGUUCCUCACGUAGUUUCUCGAAUCAGUCUUCUCUGCAUACAGUUUCCUCGCACUCGAGCUCAGGUUCAGUGCUGAACACCAUGGCUGAUGGGGGUGAGAUGAAAGAGAGGUCAGUGGAGGCGGCUAUGGAGGGUAUGGUGAGCGCGGGAGGGGUGCUUACCGCGGCAGAGGAGCUGCGAUCUCAGUCGGCAAUGAUCGGGGCUGGGGUUUCCCUGAUCCAGCCUUCUCCGGAUCGGCUGGGGAAGAUGGUGUCGAGGCGCUCCCGUGGCAACUGCACGCCUCUCGUCAUCGACAUGGAGGCGGCUCGCAAGGCCGUCAGCGGUUUUCUGGUGGUUGGGCGCCUCCUCUCCCCUUCAAGGUUAAUCCGAGGGUCAUUGUCGACGACCUUCGGAACACGGCUUGGAAGAAUCAAGGGGUCGUCACCAUCCAAGAGGUGGCCAGCGACGACGGGAGGUUCAUCCUCAACUUAGCCGCCGAGAGUGACCGUCGGUUCGUGCUUAAGGCGCAGCCAUGGCACUUCAAGCGGGACGGCCUCAUCUUCGCCGAGUUCGACGGCAAGGGCGACCCGGCGGAGGUUGACCUUGGCGUCAUGACCAUAUGGGUCCAGGUACGCGACCUCCCGUUUGAGCUUAAGAUGGAGAGUGUAGGGUGGUCUCUCGAGGAUCAACUGGGAGAGGUGCUGGAGGUAUCGCACCGUAACCAUCUUAUUGUUGAAAAACAUUUGCGUGUUCGGGUGAAGAUUUUAUUGCAUGAACCUCUGAAUAGCUCUGUAGUGAUUACCCCUUUAGGUAGCUCAAAGAUUCUUAAAUUUGAUGUAAAGUAUGAGAAGCUACCUUUGUACUGUGAGUGUUGUGGGAUAGUAGGUCAUACUUCUGAGAGAUUUUGUAAAAUCCCAAGUGAGGAGAGAGUAGUUUGCUUCCAAAAAAACUUAGUGUUGAGCCUUAUUUGAAGAGCCAAGGUGCUAGCAGGAGGGGUCUCCUCUUCGGGAACUACUCUCGCGGCGGCAAUCAUACGUCUACAGGCAUCGUCGACAACAACAUCGCCAAACCCGCCGACAUCGUCAAGGUGGCCACUGCCGUGGGUGGUCUCACGGUCUUUGAUAAAGGGGCCGGCUCUUCCGUCAAGACGCCUGCACCGGCAGGAGCGUCACUUGGUCAGGAGGACCAGGAGGGUGCGAUGGCUACUCUUGCCGGCAGGACCUUGAGGUCCAGGGCAAAGCAGCCCUGGAGGACUUGCGCCAGGAGGGGAUGCAAGACCAGCAGCUGCAGGCUAAUGUUGACUCGGUCCAAGACCUCUUGGCGGGUCAGGUGGCCACUUGCACUCAAUUACAGGGAACACCCAGCCAGGUCCCAGCGCCUGGGGGUGAUAAUGGCAGCCUCCUCUUCCAGCCAGGGGUGCUAGAGGCGCUGUCCAGCGCGGUUGCCGCAAGGAUCGCUACGGCAGAUGGUGGUACGAAAAAUAAUGCCGUACGCUUUACAUUCAGUGCAGCUAAAAACUCUAUGCAGGGCAACUCAAAAAAGAAAGACAAAAAAAAGAGGUGCCAAACAGAGCUGAGGAUGCCCGCAAGCAAAUACUAGGAAAAAAAGGAGGCAUCCUUUUGGGAUUCAGCCGACGGGUAGUGACUUAGAGUUUUCCUUUGAAAAAGAGAUGGAUAGCUAUGAGCGCAUGUUAUAUGGUGAUGUAACCGUUUCAUCCAAAUGGGUGUGUACGGGUAGAGUUGUAGCUGUCCAGGAUGAGGAGGGCGGGGUUACACACAUCGCAAAGGAGACCGACGAGAAGGAAGAAGAGUACGUUCCGCAGGGAGUGGAAUCGGUUGGCGAAGAGAAAGACGAGAUUGGCACAUCGGCGGCCUCCAAGGAGGAGGAUCGCCGGGCCAAAUGAAAAUCCUAGGAUGGAACUGCCGUGGUAUGCUCUCCAACACGGCAGUUCGUGAGCUUCUGGACCUACAGGAGCGUACAAGGGCAGAUUUAAUUUUCCUUUCUGAAUCCCAUUUGAAUAAUUGUAAAGCCGAUGAGCUUCGUCGUAAUUUAGGUUUUGAUUCUAUGUUUGUAGUGGAAAGCGAUGGUAAGGCCGGUGGCCUAGUUUUGUUUUAUCAUAAGUCGAAUAAAAUCGAGUUGAACUAUGUCUCGCCCCACUUUAUUGAUAUUGUUUUUAUGAAUGAGGAAGUGGUUCAGUGGCGGUUCACGGGUUUCUAUGGUCGUCCGAAAUGGAAUGAGCGCCAUCUUUCUUGGGACGAUAUUCGCAAUCUAUAUAGUAAGGGCAAUCACCCCUGGGUUGUUUUGGGGGACUUUAAUGAAAUUUUAUACCCGUCGGAAAAAGAGGGUGGUAUGGCUAGACCACUUGGUAUGAUGAGAGAAUUUCGUGAAUGCCUAAUGGAUUGCGGGUUGGAUGACCUUGGCUAUACGGGUGACUUGUUCACUUGGAGGAGAGGCGAAAUACGUGAACGUCUUGAUCGGGGGGUCUGUAAUAUAGUGUGGGCAAACAAAUUUCCACGAGCGGCUGUAAUCAAUGAAGAACAUGUUCAUUCUGACCACCGCCCAAUCGUACUGGAUACGGAUUACUUGGAUGAAAAAAUCUUUAAACGACCAGAGGGGCGGGUUAAACAGUUUGAGGCGAGGUGGUUGAAGGAAGAGACUGUCACUGAAAUUGUUAAGGCAUCUUGGGAGAAAGCAAGACUUGUAGGUAUUGGACCGUCACUCGCAGAUCGUACGACAACAGUACAUGCCGAUCUACAUACGAGAUCUACAUACUUGGGACAGGGAAACUCUAAAGGGACCAAAGGUGAGAAUUAGGAAAUUAAAAAAAGAAUUGGAGAGACUAAGGCGGGGCCCAUUAAAUAAGGAGUCUCAAGGUCGUCAAGAGGAAAUUAUUGUGCUAAUUGAAAAUAUCUUGGAUCAAGAGAAAAUUUUCUGGUUACAAAGAGGAAGGGCGAACUGGUUGAUGCACGGGGAUCGUAAUACGUCUUUUUUCCAUAAUGCUGCCACGGCUAGGAAAAAAAGAAAUAAUUAAAAAAACUAUUAGAUGAGUGGAAAAUGGUUAACAGAAAAUGAUUUGACGAAUCACAUAACUGAAUACUUCACAAACCUUUUCACAUCGGAAGUUCAGCAUCCGAAUCAAGAAGUUUUAUCACUUGUGCGUAAGAGAGUGUCAAACGAAAUGAACAAUGCUCUACUUGCUCCUUAUACCGCGGAAGAUGUUCGCAAGGCUUUAUUUGAUAUUGGGGACUUGAAAGCUCUAGGACCAAAUGGACUCCAUGCUAUCUUCUAUAAAAGGUUCUGGCCCAUGCUAGGGGAAGACCUAAUUGAGGAGGUUCUGAAAGCAAUCAAUACAUGUAUAACCCCGAAUGGUUGGAAUGAUACUGCAAUCGUGAUGAUUCCUAAGAUUAACACACCAGAAAAGGUAUCCCAAUUUAGGCCGAUCAGCUUAUGUAAUGUGGUAUACAAAAUAAUUGCAAAAAUGGUGGCCUCUCGAUUGAAGACCCUUCUACCAGAAAUUAUUAGUCCAACACAUAGUGCUUUUGUACCAGGUAGAUUGAUAACGGAUAAUAUUUUAGUGGCCUACGAAUGUUUUCACACAAUCAAGAAUAAAAGAGAGGGUAGAGAGGGCUUGUGUGCUAUCAAACUUGACAUGCACAAAGCUUACGAUAGAGUCGAGUGGGCUUUUCUGAAGGAAAUUAUGCUGAAAUUGGGUUUCCGCCGAGAGUGGGUUAACUUGAUCAUGCAAUGCGUCACAAUAGUAGAAUACAAAGUAAGGAUAAAUGCAGAGGAAAGUGAGAGUUUUAAGCCUACUAGAGGGUUGAGAUAGGGGGACCCGCAAUCACCAUACCUAUUUCGGCUGUGCACAGAAGGGUUGAAUGCCUUACUCUCGCAUGCUGAGGAGAACGGGAACAUAUCAGGAGUUAAAGUCUGUAGAGACGCCCCACCAAUAACUAACCUACUCUUUGCGGAUGACUCGUUGAUCUUGAUGAAAGCCAACCAACAUAAUGCGGCGGCCCUGAAAUCAGCACUAGAUUUAUAUUGUGCGGCGUCGGGACAGCUGGUUAGCGUGGAAAAGUCUAGUAUUUUCUUUAGCCCCAAUACAAAGGUAGAGGUCAGAGAACACUUGUGUACAAUGCUCAAUAUAAUGACGGAGGCCCUGAAUGACAAAUACUUGGGCUUGCCAGCAAAUGUGGGCGUUGAUAAAAUAGACUGCUUUAAAUUUCUGAUUGAACGUAUUGUUAAGAAAAUUAGUGGUUGGAAGGAAAAACUACUAUCUGCCGGGGGGAAGGAGAUCCUGCUCAAGGUUGUGAUCCAAGCCAUGCCUACCUAUGCAAUGUCGGUCUUUAAAAUUCCUAAAAAAAAUUGUAAAGGAAUCACUGACGCGAUAGAGCAUUUCUGGUGGGGAGACGAGGAGAACCAGAGGAGGAUGCACUGGAUGGCCUGGUGGAAAAUGUGUGUACCAAAAACCCAAGGAGGAAUGGGAUUCCGUGAUAUCCACUGUUUCAACCUGGCCCUGCUGGCCAAACAAGCAUGGCGUCUCCUUGAUAACCCUGAUUCCUUGUGUGCCACUAUUCUAAGGGCCAAGUACUACCCUGAUGGCGAUCUGCUGAAUUCCAAGCCAAAGCAUGGUGCUUUCUUCACUUGGCAAAGCAUUAUGGCAGGCGUUACUACUCUGAAACGUGGCUAUAUUUGGCGAGUGGGAAAUGGACAUAACAUCAAUAUUUGGGAAGAUGCAUGGAUCCCAAAUUGUGCCACUAGGAAGAUUGUGACUCCUAGGGGGGACAAUUGUUAUCAAGAGUGGUUGAUUUGAUUGACCCUACUUCCAAUAAUUGGGAUGAGGACCUGAUUAGACAAACUAUGUGGCCCAUUGAUGCUCAACGGAUUCUUUCAAUCCCACUUUCGCAACAUAACAUGUCAGAUUUCAUUGCUUGGAGUUAUACAAAAAAUGGUAUGUUCUCGGUAUAGUCUGCUUAUUCCGUGGAGUGAAAUGAUCAGUAUGGGAGUAAACUAAAACACUCUAACGGGAUGGGGCGAACCACAUCCAACCCUAUUUGGUGUCAGAUAUGGAAGUUAUCCUGUCCGGCAAAAGUCAAAAUUUUUAUAUGGCGUACGUUACAUGGCACCCUCCCAUGCCGGGCAACACUCGCUAAUAGACACAUGAAGGUCUCGCCCCUUUGUCCUACUUGCUCUCAGGGUGUAGAAGACACGAAGCACAUGCUUUUCCUAUCUACUAAAGCAAAGGAGGUUUGGAAGAGGCUAGGAAUAGAUGAGAUUAUUGAUAGAGCUUGUGAGGUUGAUCGUGCUGGACAGGCGAUAUUGGAAUACCUUUUAGUUCUCCUAGAUCAAGAUUUGCGUAUUAUGGGGUACCAAAAUGUACGAGAAAUGAUAGCUAUUUCAGCUUGGUAUCUAUGGUGGGAGAGACGAAAAUUAGUGCACAAGGAAACAACUCAGAAUGCAACUCAGAUAUCAAUGGGGAUCAUAGCCCUCACAUAUAAUUUUGUAAAUGCAUCAUCUUCAAAGGCGUCCAUGAAAAAGGGGGGUUGGCAUUGUCCCUCUAGGGAUUUCGUGAAACUCAAUGUUGACGCCUCUUUUGACCAGGACAUGCUGAAUGGUGCUGAAAGAACAUGCGGUUCCCCCAUGUUUGGUUUUGGUAAUUGAUGACAAUCUCUAUGGACUAAUGGUUGCCUUGAGUUAUAUUUGAAGGAUUUGUCCAUAGGCAUUUCUUGAAGUUCAUGUGUUGGUUUCAAGGAGUUUAUGUGGUGACCAAGGUGUUAUUAAGGAAUUAUCCAAAGAUUGGUCAUGUGAGAGUUGAGCUUAUUGCAAGCAUGUCUUGGAGAAGAAGAUUGUGUGAUCAUUCAUGUAUAUCUUCAAGACAUCAUCCAAAUGAAGAGAGUUGAAAAGAUUCAUGGUUGAUCAAGACUAAGUUAAGAGUGAAUCAACUUGAUCAACUCACAAAGCGUAGAAGAUGUACCGAGAGGGAUCAAGCGAUCCCAUGGUGUGGUGAGCAUUGUCAAUUACGCUUUGUGUACUAACCCAUGAUCUUCGUGAGAGUUCUUUGUGGGGUUAGGUUGCGGUGUGCAAGUUCAAGUGAAGCAUCAUGAAGAGAUCAAAUGCUUGAAGCUUGCCGUCCAUUGUGGUGAUAAUGGACUUGUGAAGAUGUUGCAGUGUGCAAGUUCAAGUGAAGCAUCAUGAAGAGAUCAAAUGCUUGAAGCUUGCCGUCCAUUGUGGUGACAAUGGACUUGUGAAGAUGUGCGGAAGAGUGGCUCACCCAUAGUGGAGCAUGGGGGAGCAAUCAACUAGUCUUCAUCAAGCCAACGCAACCAAGAAAGGUGGUCCAACUUGAGGGAGUCAAGAUCGUCAUCAUCUAGCUCAAGUGGACCAUGUGCAAGGCAAAGAUUUGCUCUUGAUAGGUUUUCUAUUUUACCGGUCUCAUGAUGGUAGGUGGGAGACCGGGUUAUAGGAUCGAUUGCCGUACUAUCAAUGGGGGGCUCUCGAUGAGUAACUUGAUCGUAUCGUUCAUAGAGAGCUCAAACCAUUGCAUCCUUGCAUCAUCUUUAUUGGUUCUUGUUUGGUUUUUCUCUUUGUGAGUUUUGGAGCUUAUGGUCAUCUUGAUGACAAGCUCGAGUUCAUCGAAAACGGAGUUCACUCGCAUCUUCUAUGAUGUUUUCGAUGUUGGAGGUUAUGCCGGUUCUUCUCGGUUGGAGGUUUCACUCCUCUAUUUGUUGGCAUACCUCCCCUGCCUCUUCUUACUAUAACCAGUCGCUGUUUUGAUGCUACUCAUCUUCCUCUAUCCAACAAGCUUGAGUUUGAUCAAUUCGGAGCUCAUAUGCAGAAGUUAUGGCAGUUUUGGUUUCCUAGCGGUAGUACCGCGGGCCGGAGCGGUAGUACCGCUUGGGUGCUACAAGCGGUAGUACCGCUUUAGAGCGGUAGUACCGCUGCGGUCUCAUGCUAGUACCGCCUCGAUUCGAGGGGUCUUUUUUCGUGUCGGGUUUUACGGUACUGGCCACAGCAGUGGGGGCCGUUGUACCGCUCGUAUGCGGUAGUACCGCCCUGCCACCGCGGUAGUACCACUCUGGGCCCAGCGGCAGUACCGCGAGGGGGAGCGGUAGUACCGCUUAUAGGGGCAAGCGGUAGUACCGCUGGCCAAGCGGUAGUACCGCUGGCCAAGCGGUAGUACCGCUCUCUGCGGGGCUGAAGUGGGGGUAACGGUUGGAUUGUUCCCCCCACUAUAUAAGGGGGUCUUCUUCCCCAUUCUACUUUAUCUCUUGAGCUCGUGUUCUUCCCCCAUUGUUGACCUUCUUCGAGCUUGCUAACUCUCAAUCCCUCCAUGGAUUCUUGCUAGUUUUUGAGGGAAAAGAGAGAGGACAUCUAGAUCCACAUUUCCACCAAUCACUUUCUCCUCUAUGUGAGGAGAACCCAUUGGAUCUAGAUCUUGGAGUUCUUGGUGUUCUCCUUCUUGUUAUUCCUCUCAUUUUCCUCCCAAGCAUUAGUUGCUUCGGUGGGAUUUGAGAGAGAAGGACUUGGGCACUUGCGUGUGCCCUUGCCAUUGCAUUUGGUGCAUCGGUUUGAGUUCUCCACGGUGAUACGUGGAAGUUACAAGUUGAGAAGCUUAUUACUCUUGGGUGCUUGGUGCCCUUGAGCUUAUUACUCUUGGGUGCUUGGUGCCCUUGAGCUUGUUCCUCUUGGGUGCUUGGGCGCCCUAGACGGUUGGUGGUGUUCGGAGCUCGAUCAUUGUGGUGUAAAGCUCCGGGCAAGCGUCGGGGUCUCCAAUUAGGUUGUGGAGAUCGCCCCGAGCAAUUUGACGGGUUCCGGUGACCGCCCCCAAGGGUUGCCAAAGUGUACGGGUUCGGUGACCGCCCCCAAGGGUUGCCAUUUGUACGGGUUCGGUGACCGCCCUCAAGGGUCCCUUAGUGGAAUCACGGCAUCUUGCAUUGUGCGAGGGCGUGAGGAGAUUACGGUGGCCCUAGUGGCUUCUUGGGGAGCAUUGUGCCUCCACACCGCUCCAAACGGAGAUUAGCAUCCGCAAGGGUGUGAACUUCGGGAUACAUCGUCGUCUCCGCGUGUCUCGGUUAUCUCUUACCCGAACCCUUUACUUAUGCACUUUACUUUGUGAUAGCCAUAUUGUUUCUUGUCAUAUAUCUUGCUAUCACUUAGUUCUUUAUCUUGCUUAGCAUAAGUUGUUGGUGCAUAUAGGUGAGCCUAGUUGUUGUAGGUUUUGUGCUUGUCAAAUUAACCGCUAGGUUUAUUCCGCAUUUGUUCAAGCCAACAGUAAUUAUUUUAAAGCGCCUAUUCACCCCCCCCCUCUAGGCGACAUCCACGAUCUUUCAGGUGCGAUGGGAGCGGUUUUGCGAGACGACAAAGGUAGGUUUAUUGCAGGAGGAAAUGGAAAGAUUGACCAUUGCGUGGAUGUUUUGAUGGCAGAAGCUUUAGCCCUCAAAUUUGGACUAACACUAGCGCAAAGGGCAGGGUGCAAUCGCCUAAUCAUCAAAUCAGAUAAUCUAGAGGUGAUUGAGACCAUGCAGGACGGAGGACAGUCAACGGGUGCGGUGGCGGCAAUUUUCGAUGACUGCUUCCACUAUGCAUGUGAUUUCAUCAUGACUAGAUUCGAACAUUGUAAUAGAGAGGCAAAUAGAGUAGCACAUGAACUUGCUAGAUUAGCUAGAUUUUCUUCAAGUUUGGAUUGGUUCGAGGAGCCUAUCAAUAAAAUUGUACUCAUCCUCACAAACGAUGUAUUGGUUAUUUCUAAUGAAUAAAGUUUCGUUUUAUUUCAAAAAAAACACACACACACACAACACACUUAAACGCAUGCACACAACACUUUCGCAAGUCGUUGGGCUACUUAGACAACACGAGGUCGAGGCGCGACGUUGUAUUGUCUCAGUUCUUCGUCGGUGUCGCCAUCCUUCUGGGUGGUGCACGUCCUCAGCGCCGUCACCAUCAUGGGUUUCGUUUACGUGUCGCCGGUGGCAUGGCGAAGCUGCGGGGCAAGGUCUAGAUGUGUGAACCUUCGUCGUGCUCAUCAUGGUGUCCAUGUUGUCGAGCUAAGGCCUGUGCAGCUGCACGUGCAUGCCGGUGAAAGGGAACAUGGCCAUGUUUAAGCGAGCACACCGGUCUCAACUGCUUGUGCCGAGAUGCUGGUCAAGAAUGUAAGACGAGAUAGCACGAGAGAGACUGCAACUAUUUUCAACUGUAUUCAUUCACCAUGCUCAACUAUAUUCACCAUCGUCGCACGAGAGAAUGUACAGGGAUGAUGAGCACGUAGAGUGCGGCCACUACGCUAACAACCUCCCUAUCUAACUCAUCUAGAUAAGAUCAUGCAAUCAUGUACGUGAGACUAGAUCUAGUGGUUACAAUUUCUCUAAAAAAGGUCUAGUGGUUACAGGGAGAGAGCUACGUGAAUGAAUCUUACGCUGGUGCAGCUGGUCUUCUAGGGGUAUACCAACAGAGAACACGCUAUUCCUCGCUGUUGGCUGCGUGCAUAGCCUGCGCGUGGAGCUCAAGAAGUGAAGAAGAUGAUGACAGGGGGCAGGGAGCUAAGAGGAUACUAGUACAUGCUUCCAGCUUGGAGCUGCUGUUGGCUCAGUCCGUAUUGUCCAGUACUUUUCGACGACACAUGACGAACGGCGACGAACGAGAGACACCAUAGUAUGCAAAGCUAGCUUGUACUAGCUAGUCUGCUCCCAAUCGAUCGUUUCACAAGCAAUACCAAAAACACACACGUGGCGAGCCGCCGGAAAACAAACACACGCACGCGAUAUUUGGAUAGCCACAUGAACGUGUCGUUCCUGUUUAUCUUUAUCUGCUUCACAUCUCGAUGCAAGUUUUUAAAAGGGGAUAUACUACAAGCUAAGCCAACUAGUACGUCUCCUACACGAUGAUGAUUUAGAAACCUAUACGGACACGGCAACUACUCGUGUACUGAACCGGACAAGAUGUCCACAUCGUGUUUAACUCUGACGGCUGCGCAAUGCAUGCGGCUAUGCUGGCCGGACUCGUCGGGAUGCAGGUGGCGAUGGCGUGCGGCAUGGAGUGGAGCGGCACGCCCUGGGAAUGCGUCCGCGUGGGAGAAGAUGGCGAACGUCCUAUAUACGUACAGUAGGUAGCAUGCAGAGGGAGCUACGACACUAACAAAACUAAUCGCUCAAAUUGUGCACACAAAGAUCCUGCGAUUAACUGGCUAGAAGGCAUAGUGAUUUAUUUAUUUAUUUGCUGAAAGGUGGGACCCAUGCAAAAGGGUUCUGUGGCGUUUGACCGGUCAAUAUAGUGAAAUACGGAGCAAUACGGUGAGUCAGUGACCGUAGAAUCAUCUCAAGUUGUAUAUGGUGACCGUAUUGACCGUAUUCUUAAAUACAGUGACCAAAAUGAGUUUGUGGUACAAGUUCAGUAACCACGAAUGCAUUUCACUCAAAAAAAACCCUCGUCGAAACUUGUUUGUAAAUUUUUUUGUGGAAACGCGUUAAACGCCCGUAGGCUGGCCAGCUGUGAGCCUGCCACCUUCAGACCCGCUAACCCGCGACUCCGGCCAAUAAAUAGCCCUCCACCCCUACGCCUUUCCCCACCACCAACAAAGAUCUUCUCCUCUCUUACUCUAGCCCUCGCCGCCGCCACAGAUCACACCUCCUCGUACGUCGCUAGUCGCUGCCACCAACCGAAGCGAUGGCCGCCUCCAACGUCGCAUCCAAGGCCCUGGCCGUCGCCGCCAUCCUGUCGGUCGCCGCCUUCUCCGUCGUCUCCGCCCAGGAGGCCCCGGCGCCCAGCCCCGUGUCCGCCGCCGGCGUCGCGACGCCGUCCCUCGCCGCUGCGCUCGUCGCCUCCGGUGCCGCCUUCCUCUUCGCCGCCGUCCGCCACUGAAGAGACUGCCUCCGUCUUCCCCGUCGAUGGCUCACCUACCUAGUACAACCACAUAUAGAUCCAUUUAUUUGUCAUUAGCGAUUUGUUCGUUCGUGUCAUUUUGCCCAGAUCUGCUACUGUCUGUCACUCGGUGAUGGUGAUUAGUAUCUCCUUAUUAGUAGAGAUUGUACCCGUGUGCUUGUAGAUACUAUUUAUCCGGUUUGAUCUAGUACUCAUAUGAUCGCUCCAUUUAGUUUUGAUGAUGCUUGCUGUCUCCCCUGUUUUUUCGUGCUUAUUUCCAGUCUCGCGGUGUAACCCUUUUCGAUGAAAUAGUCAGUUGUGAUUCCGAAAUUUUGAUGCUCGUGGGUGCCGUGAAUCUAUUUUUCCAUGAUCUGGUGCCACCGUAUUUUGCUUGUUAUUGUACUUUCUCUCCUCGAUUUACUAUAACGUGCAAUAGGUGUGAACCUAGAUUUAAUAUAACUAGCCAUUUGAAUUGGUGCGCCACUUACCAUUCACAUUGUGACACUUUCACUGGAAAAAUAAGGCCAACUCGACCCGAACGGACUCGGUUUUUGUCAGACGAACAAUGUCCGAUUUCGUCCGCGGCCGUGCGCCCAACGCAGAGAGACGCAUUUGACAUCUAGGUGUGGAUUGAUAGCAGGGUCGUCAGGUCCAUUUAGUUUUGAUGAUGCUUGCACAUCUAUAAAGAUCUUAUACCUUUCCUACUUAUUCACCUCUUUGAUUGAAAAAACGUCCGUCCAUGUGGCGGACAUUUUACUUGUUGCACCAUCACGCACGAUCAUGUCCUUCUGCCACUUGUUUCAAUCAUCUCUUUGGCACGGUGGCUUGUAUGUCCAGCAUGGUGCAACUGACCACCAUGGUCAAGAUCCCCACAUUCCGUUGAGGCAUCAUCCAUGUGGCAGACAUGGUAGUACAUUUAUGACGGCGAGCGAGCAUGGCGGCGGGCAGCGGGAGGAGUGCGGUCAAUUUGGUGGAUUAGUCAAUAUUUGGAGGUUGAUUUUGGAUGGGUUCGGUAUGUCGUACCCAUAUCCCCCAGAUAUGGACGUCAGCCGGAACGUUUGGGCUGAGUUUGUUAGGUCCGGUUGGGUGAGAAAUUUCGGUCCGAGCAGGCGGUCCGGCCGUUUGGGACGGAUAUAGAAGCUCAAGUUGUAGAUGCUCUUAUGCAGUUUAUUUUUUUAUAACAAAUAAUGGGGUAUAAAUCAAAGAGCUACGUUUGGGAUGGAUAUAGGAGCUCCUGUUGUAGAUGCUCUUAUAUGCAGUUUACUCUUUUAUAACAACUAAUGGGGUAUCAAUCAAAAGAGAAUAAAUCAAAUUGGUUGUGACAAGGUCGCAUAUAUACACCAGGCAUCAACGGGGCGAGGAUUUGCAGCACGCAGGUGAGGGGCACUCAUGCCCCUGGUGUCGGCUUUUCUUUUUGGUUUUUUUAUUUCAAAGUCCUAAAUCUUUUAAACAAAAUUUCAAAUUGAGUUGUGUUUUCAUAUUUGUGUUUCUCGUGACUAGCUCUUUGAAAUAAGAUUCAUUUAAAAUAUAUUUUGACGACUUUAAAAAAAUAUGUCGUUUCAAUAUUGAAACGUAGUACGAGCGACUAAUAAAAAUCAAUUAUUUUGUGUCUAGGACCAAUAGGAAAAAUUGCUUAAAAAAUAUAUCUCCAAAACUUGUUGAAACUUUGCAUUUUUAGAUGCAAAAACCAUAAGUGUCGUCAUCAAAACUUAAAUAUUUUUGUGGGAUUUUCUUUUUACCGUGUCCUCAUGCGGGAUUCAACUAGAUCACGAGGCAAAUUGAACGAGCGGCAGGGCUCGGCAGGUGAGUGCCCCUGCGAAUUUCCGAGCAUCAACGUCCAUGGUUCAUGGGUAGAGAAAGAAAGGAAGAUGCUAUGUUCCAAACGAAAGUUCCCGUUCCAAACGGCAUUGGAUGUUGGUAUUUUGUAGUGCUUGAUAGCGAAUCCUAAUACAAAUGUGAUGUGACAGUCAAGAUACACGCUGUCCCUAAUAAUGGAGAAGAAAAGAACUACAUAUGAUUUCAGUCGAAUCUUUGAAGGUCUAGAAUUCCUGUAGCUUAACUUGGCAAGAAUUUAUAUCUCUGAGGACGCGGCAGCCAUGUUGCAAAGUGUAGAGAGAAGCAGCGAAGCAUGCCAAUUGAGACAAUUGACACAUCGUUGUCCAGCACCAACCACCUACCGCCUCUCCACUUCUCCGGCUGUUGAAUUGAUCUUUAAAGCAAGUAUAAUAAGGUGACGUAGGCAGACGGUAAGACUUUAAAUAUUAUAUCUUUGCUGAAUUGGAUGAGGGAGAAGAGGAUAGAGAAGAGAAGCGGGUUGUAGAUUUACAGCCGGCUGUAGCAUCAUUCAAGAAGCUAUGUGAGAGUGUAUGGUGGGCCAUAUGAUACAAAGUAGUACUUUUUUGUAGCCUCCCUACUACUAUACAUGUUGAUUAUUAUAAUGGCUAUAGAUGACAUGGCAACAUGUUAUAGUCAUCAAUCAGCUAUAUUAUUAACCAUGCUCUUAAAAUUCCGCUUAAGGAAACCGAGAAUUCCACCCAAAAAACGAAAUUUGAAACGCGGUUCAGCUUGAUCAAGCCAGUUGUGGCUGGAAUAUACUGCCUGGCCCUUCCUCUUCCCUCCCCUCAUUCCGUAUUAUAACGGCCCCUCUCUUUGCUGCAUCUCCCUCCAUCUCCAUUGCUCGACGCCUCAAAAACCCUAACUAGACCUUCAUCCCACUUUACCUCCGGGAAUCAACCUAGAUCGAUGGCCAGGGUUCCCUCCGCCGUGGUCGCCUUGGCGAUCUCCGUGGCCUUGGCCGUGUUCAUCGGCGUUGCCUCCGCCGCCGAGGUGCCUGCCUCCGCCCCAGCCCCGGUCUCCAGCGCGUUGGCGACUGCAGUCUCAGCACCUCUCUCCGCCUGCUGUGCCACCGUGCUCCUCCUCGCCUUCCCCCGCCACUGAGACGCACGUGUCGUUGUCAGAUCUACCGGUAUGCUAGUUGUAGUGGAGCUAGCUUGAUGGUUCGGAGGCGUGUUUCGACUUUGUGUGAGGAUUUGGUUUCGUGUUAGCUGAGGAUUUGAGAGGUUUCUACCAUAUAAUUUUAUAUUGGCCAUGUACGUACUUUACUUAUUAGCCUGAUCAUUACGGACUUAUGAUAUUAUUACGGUUGUCACAAUUAUGCUCGCUCAGCUAUCAUCUGUGUGUUAAAGAUUACUCUGGUUGUGUUAUACAACAUGUUUGCUGAUCCGUUAUAAUUGUGACGAUAUCAAUCAAUCAAACAGAUAUAAAAAGAAGCAGGCUUGUUCAGAACGGUAAUCUCCAGCCCAUUGUGCUGUCGAGUUUCCAUGGUUCCGGAUCGCUCGCGGUCGGUUUCUUGUUUGUGGCAUGUUUGGUGUCCCACCCCGACACGAAAGGGAAAGCGUGAGGAUCUCCAUCUCCAUGCCGGUUUUUUUCUGCCAAGGCAACAAAAAGACAGGACCAACUUCACGAGCAGUCACACGUUGUACGUGUGACUUUGAGUGGCGGUCCCUGUUUCUUUCACAUGGGUAGCAGUUGGGGUUCGGCCUUCGCUCGCAACUCAAUAAUGAAUGUCGUGAAACAGAAAAGCUUGGCGUGCAACAACGUUUACCUACUGUCUUUGGUUCUUACCCCAAACAAUCCUAGUCAAUAUGCAGCCACACUAUGCACGCAGAGGAAACAGAAAUGAAAAACUGGAUUCACGACGCUUGUUAAGCGAUCGGGGCUCGGGGCUCACGCACAGCCUGCCUCUGAUCCUUCUCCAACGACCACAGCGGGCCGAUGCUUUCAAGCCACAGCCACAGGUGUCCAACUGUCAAGCCAGAACGCCAGUAAUAACCAGACUUAUAUGCUCCUCAAACCCUUGUUUCAACCGUUUCUUUUUUCUUUUUGCUGGAAUAUAUUUUCGACCAUUUCUUGCUACUAAAGGAUGGAAUCAUGCUAUAAAAUUCCUGUCUGUCCCAACUCUUAACAACCCAAUACAUUCAUCAUCCACGGGGUGUUUUAUUUUGUCUCACCACUGCACUCAAAGAUUACACAUAGACCCGGAUAAGUGCAGAUGCGAAAACGAACGAGACCUACCACAUAAACACAUGUUCGCAGUGCUUCAAUGCCGUCACAAGGUCAUCUGCUCGCUUGGAAUGCGCUGAAAUCAGGAAAUUAUGUACAAACAGUUGCAUAAUCACCUGGCGAUACAAAGGUCCUCGUCCAACAAGUUAGCUUUUUUCUGCCAAGGCAACAAAAAGACAGGACCAACUUCACGAGCAGUCACACGCUGUACGUGUGACUUUGAGUGGCGGUCCCUGUUUCUUUCACAUGGGCAGCAGUUGGGAUUCGGCCUUCGCUCGCAACUCAAUAAUGAAUGUCGUGAAACAGAAAAGCUUGGCAUGCAACAACGUUUACCUACUGUCUUUGGUUCUUACCCUAAACAAUCCUAGUCAAUAUGCAGCCACACUAUGCACGCAGAGGAAACAGAAAUGAAAAACUAGAUUCACGACGCUUGUUAAGCGAUCGAGGCUCGGGGCUCACGCACAGCCUGCCUCUGAUCCUUCUCCAACGACCACAGCGGGCCGAUGCUUUCAAGCCACAGCCACAGGUGUCCAACUGUCAAGCCAGAACGCUAGUAAUAACCAGACUUAUAUGCUCCUCAAACCCUUGUUUCAACCGUUUCUUUUUUCUUUUUGCUGGAAUAUAUUUUCGACCAUUUCUUGCUACUAAAGGAUGGAAUCAUGCUAUAAAAUUCCUGUCUGUCCCAACUCUUAACAACCCAAUACAUUCAUCAUCCACGGGGUGUUUUAUUUUGUCUCACCACUGCACUCAAAGAUUACACAUAGACCCGGAUAAGUGCAGAUGCGAAAACGAACGAGACCUACCACAGAAACACAUGUUCGCAGUGCUUCAAUGCCGUCACAAGGUCAUCUGCUCGCUUGGAAUGCGCUGAAAUCAGGAAAUUAUGUACAAACAGUUGCAUAAUCACCUGGCGAUACAAAGGUCCUCGUCCAACAAGUCAGCUUUUUUCUGCCAAGGCAACAAAAAGACAUGACCAACUUCACGAGCAGUCACACGCUGUACGUGUGACUUUGAGUGGCGGUCCCUGUUUCUUUCACAUGGGCAGCAGUUGGGGUUCGGCCUUCGCUCGCAACUCAAUAAUGAAUGUCGUGAAGCAGAAAAGCUUGGCGUGCAACAACGUUUACCUACUGUCUUUGGUUCUUACCCUAAACAAUCCUAGUCAAUAUGCAGCCACACUAUGCACGCAGAGGAAACAGAAAUGAAAAACUGGAUUCACGACGCUUGUUAAGCGAUCGGGGCUCGGGGCUCACGCACAGCCUGCCUCUGAUCCUUCUCCAACAACCACAGCGGGCCGAUGCUUUCAAGCCACAGCCACAGGUGUCCAACUGUCAAGCCAGAACGCCAGUAAUAACCAGACUUAUAUGCUCCUCAAACCCUUGUUUCAACCGUUUCUUUUUUCUUUUUGCUGGAAUAUAUUUUCGACCAUUUCUUGCUACUAAAGGAUGGAAUCAUGCUAUAAAAUUCCUGUCUGUCCCAACUCUUAACAACCCAAUACAUUCAUCAUCCACGGGGUGUUUUAUUUUGUCUCACCACUGCACUUAAAGAUUACACAUAGACCCGGAUAAGUGCAGAUGCGAAAACGAACGAGACCUACCACAGAAACACAUGUUCGCAGUGCUUCAAUGCCGUCACAAGGUCAUCUGCUCGCUUGGAAUGCGCUGAAAUCAGGAAAUUAUGUACAAACAGUUGCAUAAUCACCUGGCGAUACAGAGGUCCUCGUCCCUUUUUAACCAACAAUUGCUGUGCACGUCCUUGUCCUUCCACCGUUUCAUUCAACAUGGACACCAUCUAC
rnacentral:lncRNA from 1 species